AAAUUUUGAAGUAGAUCGAAACAAACCAACAGUCUACAAAUAAAGCACAAUAAUCCAACAUAGUCCAUAGUUUAUAAAGAAAUAGUCCAUGGUUAUUAAUCAUACAAGUCAACACUUGGCUACUUUAAACAACUACAUUUUUUUAUCUAAUUACUACAAGUAUAUAACUAUCCAACAGGUAUAUUCCAGGAUCCACAAUCGAGUAGUUUUAUUCCAGUUUUUUCAAGCUCGGAACUACAGUAGAGAUUCAAAAUGUGUACUUGAAAGUUGAAUCACAACAAGAAGAAAGAAGAAGAUCAGCAGCAGCAGAUAACACAGUAACAACAGCAGUACACCAGAAAAUUCCAACAGCAAACAACCAAUCAAGUUCAACACCCAGAACAGUUUGAAAACCAAAUGAAGCCCAUAGAAGAGCCCCAACAGAAUACCAAAACUCGAAAAUGAACCCAAGGGACUGAAGUUAAACAAUCAACGGAUCCCCAACUGUCUCAAACCAAACAGACUCGGAACAAAAAGAACUGAGGAACUGAAUUCAAACCCAAAACUUGAAAAACAAUACUCUCAAAAAGGCUCCUGAAAGCUGAUUCCCAAAACCUCUCUCUAAAACUGACCCUUGAAGUUUGUUCAGCUCUCUUGUAUUAUUUUUGGACUCUCAAUAUGUUCUCCUCAAUUUCAAUACUCUUUUCCUAGUUCUAUGGGUUUUUUGACUCUCAACUCUUACUGCUAGUUCAAGUUCUCUUAAUGUCUCUACUGACCUCUAUAUUUAAACCCAACCUUUUAAAACCCUUUUCAGCCCUUCUUUUUCUUUUACAGUUGUAAAAGAAAACCUUUUGUAUUACUACACCCAUGCUUUUUUUACUUUCCAGCUUUCUAUAUUCUUCUACUAUGUGAACCCUUUUAGCUUUUUAUUUAUUACUUACUAUUUUUUAUUGCCAAUUCGUUAAAAAGCAACAGAUUAUUACAGUCAUAACCCAUUAGAGCCCUACUUAUUACUUAGUGGCCCCCUACUAAUAUGUCUUGUUCCCCAAUUUCAUUAAACAAAUACAAUAGUUUAAUUGUCCAUUAGUAACUUACUGACAGCCAUCAAAUUAAAGCAUUUUUAAAGUUUUGGCAGCCUAAAUUACCCCUGCGAUUCACUGAAACUACUGACCUAUCCAAAUCUUCCUUCACUCUGUACCAAAACCACAACUACAACCAAUUCCAUUUAUCAAUCAAUUAGUAAUGCAAAGUACAAGAUCAAAUCAAAUAACAUUAACAAUGAUGGCUAACAGCUCAGUGCAACACAUAUUGAGCUAACUAUAUUGGGGAACCAAUCAUAUUUAGCUUAAAACAAGUGAAGUGAAACCAAUUAGAUGAACAUACACUUAGUUGGAUUGGAAAACAACAGAAGAAACAUCCAGAAGAGCUUUAAGGGGAUCGACAGAUUCAUGAUAAAAAAUGAUUAAUCAAUUCAGUUCAAAAAUGAACUGAAUAUACCAACAGGCUUAGUUCUAUGUUCAACUGUGACAACAUGCUUAUUUCAAUACAAGCAUUAGAACAGAAAAGAAACAGGUGGGGAAACCUACUAGAAUGAACCAAAAUUAAACUAUUAUCACGUUACUCUAACAUUCAAACAUAAUAGACUAAUCGACGACACUUAUUCAAUCGAUUAAAAAUGUUAUAACCUAUAACUAUCAAUCAGAAAAUUUGGACGAAGAAAAAGGUCCAGAAGAGAAUAAGAAGAUAAUUGACAAAAAUAACGGAAAAGCAAUCGAACAAAAUACAAUGAGACCUAAAAAGAUAAACUACAAAAAUAGAAUAGACAAAGAGAGGAAAUACCUCAAAUUGAGAAACCAAACGGACUUUGUCCGCAUCAAAGCUUCUUCUCAAACUCUUUUGAGCACAAAAUGGACCUUAAUCUAGUGUUCUCGAUUGAGAACACUCGACUAAGGUCAGUUGUUAACCUCAAAUUUCCCCUAAUCUCGGAUAGGUUUAGUUUUUUGUUCUGUUAGAGUUCUUUGGUUUGAUUUGGGAUUCGAAUAGUUCCAACGAGAUUCAAACAAAACUAAUGGAGAUUAGGAGGUUGAUUGGUUUGAGUUUGGUAGUGAAUGGGUGAACUAGGGUUAGGGUCUGAUCUUUCAAACUAUUAUUGGAGAAUAUUAGUGAUGAUUCGAGGAAAAAAGGGUAGGGAUUUGGAACGAGGAAGGAAUGGAGGUUCAGUGGUGUGAUUUUGGUGGACGGCGGCAUUGUUGCCGCCGGGUUUCAGGCGAAGGAUUUUGAUGGCGGCUAGGGUUUCAAGGGGUUGUCUCUGAGAAUUCUGAGAGAGACGAUAAGGCAGGGGGGGUUGUGUUUGGGGGGACUGGGUAGGAGUUUAGGAAUAUAUACUAGGUGGGAUUUUUAAUCCUGGCCAUUAGAUCUACUAAGAUCAACGGCUAGGAUAUGGGAGGUGAACAAAAACGGCAUUAUUUGGUUUCAAUGGGGGGUUGGUUUGAACUGGGUAAUAGGCCAGGCUGGUGAGACGGGUUGGGAGAUGGGAUGUGAGCCAUUGGAAUGGGAUUAAAUGGACGGCUGAGAUUGAUAGCCAUCGAAACGACGUCCUCUCGACGUCUGUGAUAUUGGAACAAGCAUGGGUGUGCUUUGAGCCUAAUUUUAAAUUCAAAAAUUCGGCCCAGUUUUGAUUUUGUUCUAUUUAUUUCAUUAGCUUCUUUUCUUUUCCUAAACAAAUUUUCAAAACUAAAACCAAAAAUCCUAAUUUAAAUAAUAAAAACCAAAUUAAUUUAUAAAAGUACUGAUUAACACACAUAAUUAAUUAUAACACAUAAUUAACUAACAAAAAAAUAAAAAUCACACAAUUUAACAUUAGAUGCUAAAAAUGCAAAGCAAACUAUUUUUGUGAUUUUCAUUCUCGUAAAGCCAAAAUUAUUUUAAUAAAUUCAUAAUUGUAACAUAAAAUCCUAAAUGCACAGGCAACGCACAUUUUUUGUAUUUUUUAUUAAUAAAAAUAAACUGAACAUUGACAGACAAAAAUAGAAAUAAUUAUCAACAUGCCCGAAAGUUCUCAAAAUUGCUUACAAAGAAAAUUAUUUUAUUUUUUGAUUUUUCUAGAGUAGUUCUUUGUGAGGAAAAAAUCAUGUGCUCACACUCGGAAUGAAAUUCUGAGAGUUUCUGUAAAUUCGUCAGGUAGUUUUGGAUAUGUGUGCAAAUUUUCAGGUCAUUCGGACAUCGUUUGGUCGGGUUUUGAUCGAAAGUGCAUUUUGGAAGUUCUUGAAGAACUUAGGCUUUGAUUUGAUGAAAUUUGAUGAUUUUGAUGUUAACAAUAGUGUAUUGAUGGUUUAAGCAAGAUGGAUAAGGUAAUAAAACAUGUAUGUGCUUUUGGCUGAGAUCCAGGGGGCCUCGGGGUGAGAUCAAGUGUUUAAAAUGAGAGUUUUGAAGUUUUCUUCAGGUCUCUAUUGUUGUCAUCUGGUAUUUCCACUUUUACCGAAAUGGAUCGCAGAAGUGGUUCCGUAGAAGCGGGUAAAGGAUCAUAGAAGCGGGUCUUGGCCUAGUGAGGACUUUUCGCAAAAGCAAACAUUGUCCGCAGGAGCGGGCUGUCAACUGCAGAAGCGGUACUGGGUGAUCCGCAGAAGCGGAUCUUUGGACUCAAAAGAGGGAAUUUGUGAGCUUUAAUGAAAACCGCAUAUGCAGAGUUUUGGCUGCAGAAGCGGUCCCGCAUAAGUGGAAACGGGACCCUAGAAGCGAAAAUUAUUGUUGGCAGAAGGGUUUUAUAUCAUUAUUUGAUCCGCGGGCUUAUGCCAUUUUUCCUCCAUUGUUGAGCAAUUUUUGAGCUUUGGGCGAGAAUUUUUUAGGGUUUCGACUGAGAAUCGAAUGGAGGUAAGUUACUUGGCUUAAUUAUUCAAGUUUAUGGUAGAAUUAACAUGUAAAUUGGUGAAAAUUAUCAAAAUGGGGUAAGUUAGGGCUUGAGGAAAGAUAAGAAAAAAAUAGAAUUUGGAGGGUCAAAUGGACUCCGAUUUUGGUAAAUAUUAUAUGUAUACACUUGUAGCGAGACUGUCACACCUCCUUUUUACACACUACCCCGAAGGACAAAGUGUAAGAGAGUUUUUAAAUUUUAAGUGACAUUAUUCGGAUCGGGAUUAUUUAUUUAUUUAGACCCGUCACUUGGAAAAGGUUUGGCUUUUGGUGUCCCAAGUAACCGGUUUAUCUUAAAUCCCGAACCGAGGAAAGUUUUUGACUUCUCAAUUGGAGUUUGCGAACCAAAAAUUCUCAAUAAGGAAUUCUUUUGAGCCGAGGGAAGGUUUUAGGCACCCCGGAUCCUGUGGUUCUAGCACGGUCGCUUAAAUUGCUGUAAUGGCUAAAUAUCUGAUUUUAAUACAUGUUAUAACUUAUGUGCUUUUAUUAACUUUAAACCGUUUUUAUUAUCAUUUUUAAUAGAAUUGCAACAUGAUGAAAACGUGUCUGAACCACGUCGCAAUCAAUGCACCCGUGAUUGUUAACACAUUUCGAUUUCGUUGCAAUUUGGAUUUGGGUCACGUAAAUGUGCACCCGAAUUUUAGGUAGGUAAUUUUAUUAAAUUGCGCGCCUAAAGAGAAUAACGCAUUUUUCUCUUUUAGGAAGGCCGUGAAACUUGCUAAGCGGAGCAUCCCUAAGUCUAAAAAUUAAUACGAAAUUUAUUGAGGGCCCCGUAAUUUGUAGUUUUAUUUGGCGAGACUCGUCUCAUUUAAUAUUUUAAAGAACAAACCUAAAAGAAACUAUAAUUUUCUAUAUAUUUUUUACUCUAAUAAUAAAACAAAGGUCCUAAUUAAUUAUAAACUUGGAAAAACCUACAUCUUAUUAUCCUAUCUCAAAUCAGUUGGACCCAACAUCAUAAUAAGUAAAAACAAAUCAUCUCUAGAAAUUUAUCUAAAAUGAGCCCGAUUAUAUACAAAGGACAAAACAUUAGUAGGCAUGUGGACAGAAACCCAGGCCCAAACGAGAUGGAGUGUGGGGUAGAUAUCUUUACUAAUACCUGAAGACAAACAACACUUUGGGCCUGCUUUGAAAAAUUGGGCCUAAGAGAUAAUAUACGACUUUAGGUUCAAUUGGAGAAAACAAACAGGGAACGAGCCUACACGGCCCAAGUUAAUUACCAACACAGACUAAGUGACUCUGUGCAAUUUGCAAUGCCUCCUCCUUAGAGUUAUAGAAAUCAUCUUUUACACUUAAAAGCCAAAUUUAUGCUUAAUUCCUUAAUUCACGUGAUUCCAGUUAGCAAUUCUAGGAAAUUCUCAUCAAUUCACUCUAUUCAAUUUAAUUGAACAUUAGUUUGAUUCCUAUUAUACGCCUACUCUGUACAUUACGAUGUUAGUGGUUUCAUUACACAUCACAUGCAAACACGUUGACGAUCCAAACCCCAAACAAACAACUAUUCCAAACUAAUUCAAACUAAUAUUAUCAAAGUCGUUUGCUACUUCAAGAGCUAAACAGGAGAUUGUAUAUGAAUUCAAACCAACUUCUAAUUCUCAACAACACCUACCAUAAGAAUUCAGUUACACUUUAUGCAAUUACAGGGUUCAUAGCUUAACAACUGAAUAAUUCACAUUCAAUGUUCAAUUUAGUGAAGUCCCGUCGGUCUAAUUAAUAGUCCAUGAAUUAUAUUAAUCAAAAAUGAACUAAACCAAAUACAAAUCAUUUGUUACAAUUAGACAAACACUUAUCAGGAGGCGGAUGAACAUUUAUUUCAUUUUUUUAACUUCAAAGCUACAUCAAGCUGAUUUCGAAUGUGUACCUGAAGUGUAAUUCAAUUGAGAAGAAGGAGAGUAGUCAACAGCAGGAAAGUAAGAAACAGUAGUUUAAAAAUCAAACUCAAACCCAGAGGUGAGUUGAAAACCAAACACAACCAACAUAAUAGCCCAAACAGUGCCAAAAUACUCUGAAAUGUCCCAGGAGACUUGUAUACCCAACUGAUUAAACCACAGUUAACUUCAACUAAACAAUACCAAUGCCCAAAUGAUUCUGAAUAUUUUCAGGAUUCGAGUAUGUAACAGAAGCAGAAAAUUCAAGCUAUUUUUGAGUUUUGGAAUGAACUAGAAGAUUUAACUAGAUCUAGAAUCCGAUAUUAAGAUAAUGGAACAAUAGAGGAAGCUCUUCUUAACUGAUUCAAAAAAACUCCUUAAUUCAUUCAAAGACUCCUUAUUUAUACCCAAAACACACCCCUCUUUCUAACCUGAUUAAACGCUCUUCCUUAUUACGAAAUGUAUCCUGAUGUUACUCCCUGAAGACCACUAUUGUCUGUCCCUUUUGUUAUUAAACAAAGAUGGGUAUGGGGCAGCCUGAAUAUUAAAUUCAGGCGUGCCUAACAAUACAUGGCUUACACUCAAUCCUAGCAUUUUAAUUCGGUGAAUUAAUUCAACUUCAUCAAUUAAAUAAUUACUAAACUGACCCACAAAUGGUACAGAUUGACACAACAGCUAAUAACAAAACAAACAAUUCACGACAUUUUAAACGACCAUGCAAUUUGAUUUAAAGACGACAGACUUAAGCAAUUCACGCACUGUGAUGAACUAGUCUCAUAUGAACAGACUAAUUGAAACGGAUACAGAAGCAUAAAUGAAGUAGUAGGAGUAACGGACUGGAAAUUUAAACGAAAAAUAAAGAUGGAAUAAAAAUAAAAGGGAAUUAACAUACCUAAAAUCCAAACGAGCCUUAUUAUGAAAUUGAACCUCGUCCUUUUGAUUUGGACCGAAAUGAGUCUUGAUUAUGUGUUCUCAAAUGAAAACACACAGUCGAGGUCCAUUUCACCCUUAAUCAUUGCUCCGUCAUCAGCUUUUAGGGCUUCAUCAAACUCAAACCCCACAUCUGCUUUGAAAUUCGAUCAGUUUUGAGGGGCUUCGAAGGAAACGGGUAUGAGAUUUGCGAUGAUGAGGCUAUGGGGGUUGAGGGGUAUUGAUUUGGUAUGGUUUAGUGUUGGUGCCUCCACCAAGAAUUUUGGGGCGGCUCUAGGGUUCAUGUGGUCUAAAUGAUGUUCGAGGAUUUCUCGAGCGAUUCGACGAAAACCAAAGGUAUCCUAGUGGAGAGGGAGGUCAAGGGGUAUGAGUUUGGUUGCCAUUGGAUGGAUUAGGAGUUUUUGACUACUUCUUCGAUCGAAUAUUAAAAGAGCGUAGUUGGGAUUCGAUGGAACCUGUCAUGGGGGUUGGGACAGGAGGUCAUGGUGAGCCUAGGGUGCAAUUUUUGGACAAUUUGGGCCACAAAAACUGCCGUGAGGCGAUUUUUUAUGGGCAGAGUGCGAUGGUCGAAGGUGGAGGGUUAUUCGGGUCUCUGAGGUUUAGAAACGAUGAAGGUGGGGGCUUGGUGUGGGGUGGUGUUUGGGAAUAUAUACUAGACAUAAGAUCUGAUCCAAGCUGUUUGAUCAGAUGAGAUCAAUGGCUUGGAUCAUUUACUUAAGUGGAACGAUGCCGUUAAGCCAUACUAAAGGCCGGGUUGGUCUCUUGUGAGACCGGGUCGGGCUAGAAUGAUGGGUACAUGGGUGCAUUUGUGACCGUUGGAUUGGUUUAAAUGGUCGGCUGAGAUCUUAGACGAUGAAAUGACGUAGUUUCAACAUCAUACUAUGCCGUUUCGCUCGUCUUUGAGGUUGGCUGGUCUGGACCGGGUGAGGGGUGAGGUUUGGUCUUGAUUGAUUUAAUUCAAAAAUGGCCCAGUCCGAGUUUUGCUCUCUAUUUUCACUUCCUUCCUUUUCUUUUAUUUGCUCUUUUUUUUUUUAAUUCCUAAUUACCAAAAUUCUAACUUAAAUUGUAAAAUCAAGAAUUAACUCAGAAAAAUACUAAUGGACCCUUUAUAAUAAUUAUCACACAAAAAUUAAACACUGAUUACAAACAAAAUCAGGCACUUGGACAUUAAACGCUAAAAAUACAAAGUACAUUAUAUAUAUAUAUAUAUAUAUAUAUAUAUAUAUAUAUAUAUAUAUAUAUAUUUCUCUUUUUAUUUUGUUUUGCCUUAAUUAAUAAUUAAUGAUAUCCACUUUUAAAUAUUAAUGAUAUUAUAAUUAUUAAUAUCGCCCUUAUUGUAAAUCCAAUUCUUUAUAAAUAGGGAAGUAACUCAAAAAUCAUCACAAGCGUAUAAAUCCGUAAUAGAAGUAUAAUUUAAGAUUUUUAAAAAAAAAAUUAUAUUUAGCGAGUUUUGAAACUUCUACAGAUUUGAAAAGUGUUACAAUAUUCACUCCUUAAAAACAUUCGUCCUCGAAUGUUGCUAGGGCCUUAUUCUUAAGCUAAUAAUCAUUCUUCAAGUCCUUGAACUUCUUAAGUUUUCUUAGCACUACUAACUUUCCCAAGGGUCUCAAAAUGUUGGCUAGCUCCCUAAAUUUUCAAAAUUUUGGCAGAGUCUCCCCUAUAAAUUAGACUAUCCAAAAAAAUAUACGUGUCGCCAAUACCAAAACUACACCAACAACAACCAAAUAUACCAUAACAUUCCCUUCAUAGGCACCAUAAAUGCAAAUGCGACGUAUUUUGUAUCUUGUUAUUAAUUUAACACACGUAGAGGCACGAACGAAUGCAAACAAUAUAAGAAAAAUAACACACAACUCACAACAAUUGUAAAAAAAAUUAAUUUAUUAUUUAUUUAUAUAUUUUAUUUUAUUUUUGAAUUUUCAGGAGCAAUUCUCAUACAGGGCAGAAAUCACAUGCUCACACAGCUACCCCUCUUUACCCGGAAACACGAAGAGUUUUUGCGCAAAGAUAAAAUAUGCGAAUACGAGUGGUUUUUUCCCGAUCGAGUACCCGGUGUGAAGCUCUUUUUGAAAGAUUUGACUGAACCGUUGCUUCAGAAGGUAUCCUACAUAUCCUUGUCUAAAAGGAAAUCAGGUUAAUGUAGUUCGGAAGUUUUGAUAGCUGGGACUACCAUGACGCUAUAGUUUUACUGUUACUAUUGUUGUUGUUGUUGCUGCUUCUUACUACCUCCUUAUUACACCAAAAAAAAAAUCAAAGCUAAGCUAGCUAUGCCUAUCAACUACGAGUUAGAAGAUUGCUAUCUAUAAUUCUCUUGAAACUCAAUCUUGAGUCUUAGCUGAUUUUUCUGUAGACUUCGAUCUGAAUCUUAAUGCUCGCAAGCUGUAGGUGCUUGUUUCUUUCUGCGGCAUCGAGUGAAACAAGAUUGGCGGAGCUUGUGACUUCAAUCAGAUUUCGAGCAAUCCGCACCUUUGUUUGCUCUAAUAUUUGAGCUUAUUUUAUUUGUUCUUUUCUUUAUUAUGGAAGGAGAUUCAUUCCAUCGGUCAUCUUGUGCCUUGUGUUUUGAGGUCAACCUGCUUAAGUCAUCAAAGACAAACAAACGACCGAAAUUUUCUGCCCCAAUUUUCACUAGGAAAAUUUCGUGAGUUAGUUGUGACACAUAUCUAAGCAGUCAAAUCAGGAUUGAGCAUCCAUGUGAAUGGAUCCAGGUUGUGCUGGGAAAUUGUCGGGUUAUGCCGGAAAAGAAAGAGGGGUCCUUGGGUUAUGCUGGGAAAGUCAAGGGGUUAUUCCGGAAAAGGUCCACGGGUUACACCAGGAAGAAUCAUUGGGUUAUGCCGGAAAAGGUCCAUGGGUUAUUCCGGGAAGAAUCAUCGGGUUAUGCCGAAAAGGUCCAUGGGUUAUGCCGGGAUGUAGAAAGAAAAAGGCUCAUUGGGUUAUGCUAGGGAGAUCCACGGGUUAUGCCGGGAUUUGGAAAGAAAAGGCUCCUUGGGUUAUGGCAGGAAGAUCCACGAGUUAUGCCGGGAUUUGGAAAGAAAAGGCUUCUUGGGUUAUGGCAGGAAGAUCCACGAGUUAUGCCCGGAAAAAUUAUUGGGUUGUGCCGAAAAGGUCCACGGGUUAUGCCGGCAAAGACAUAGUGUUAUGCCGGAAAGGUCCAAGGGUUAUGCCAGGAUUUGGAAAGAAAAAGGCUCUUUGGGUUAUGCCAGGGAGAUCCACGAGUUAUGCCGGGAUUUUGGAAAGAAAAAGCUCCUUGGGUUAUGCCAGAGAUAUCUGCGGAUUAUGCCGGGAUUUUGGAAAGAAAAAUCUCCUUGGGUUAUGCUAGGGCAAUCCACGGGUUAUGCCGGGAUUCGAAAAAGAAAAGGCUCAUUAGGUUAUGCCAGUGAGAUCCACGGGUUAUGCCGGGAUUCAAAAAGAAAAAGAUCCUUGGGUUAUACCAAGGAUAUGUGCAAGCUAUGCUAAGAUUUUGGAAAGAAAAAGCUCCUUGGGUUAUGGCAAGGAGAUCCACGGGUUAUGCCAGGAUUCGAAAAAGAAAAGGCUCCUUGGGUUAUGCCAAGGAGAUCCACGGGUUACGCCGGGAUUUUUUAGGAGUGGGAUCCUAUGCUAUCAUGAUUUUCCUUUGGGAUUUUCCUUUUUAUUUCAUUUCUUCUUUCCUUUUUUUUGGUUUUCUCUUUAUAUGUUUUCCUUUUAUUUACCAGAAUGCAUCAAAGGGUGUUGAGGAAACUUCCUUUUUUGUUGUUUUUCCUGCUGCACAGCUGUUUCAGCAUUUGCGCAUUUCAUUUCUUUUUGGGUUUCGUGGAUGCUUCUUGCAUGGUUGCUUUGAACAAGACCUGUUUUAAACAAAGAACAAUUUGUUAGUUGAAAAUGUGGUUGGUUUUGUGGCCUUUAUCAUUCCCAUCGCUUGAUCCCGGUCCCAUUUCCGUUGAGAACUUUGCUGCUUGUUGGCCUUGAGGGUGAAUUUCUUUUACACUGACCGGGUUCAGCCUUUGGAUUUCAGGAUAACUCGCCCGCGUGGGCUCUAUUUUUUACACCUCAUUCUGUUUUCCAAACCUUGCCUUCGACUUUCUUUCUUUUCUAAUGUCUUUUACUUUGGAGGAAAUCAACCACCAUGGUCAGCCGGGAUUAGAAUGACGUGCCACUGAGGCUGGGUAUUUCCUUUGACUCUUUCCGGGCAGAGCCCUGUGAAACCGGUCCUGCCACCUUUUUCUUUGUAAUAGUUUUAGAAUUCAGAGUUAAGCCGAAAGGGAUUCAAGGAAAGGUAAACAGAGAACAGAAUAAUGAAUUCUAAAUAGAAGCGUCCCUUUUGGGGGAAAAGAAGGAUUUUUCUUGGUGUAUGCUGGCUUUAAACUGACAUGACAUGCUUCUUGGACUUGGUGCCCGAUCCGCACUAUCUUCCAGCUUCUCAUGAACCCAUUGAGCUGUAUUUCCGAAAUAGGGAACUUUAGUAGGACUUUAAUGAUGAGGCAUCCUCUAUACGGCCGACAGCACCCUUUGUGGGUUUUCGCUAAUCGCACCUUCUCAUUUCUCUUCUCACCGUCUCCCGAUAGUGCUCUUUGCGAGUUUUCACUAAGCGGUCUCUCUCAUUUUCAAUUUCUCUACUCCUGUCACCAUAUGGUGCCCGAAAGUUUUCACCGAUAAGACUCUCUCUUUUUGUUUCUCUCAAUUUAGAAUGCAUCGGCCUUCAACAAUGAUAUUUCUCAGUUCUCACACCUCUGGCAAUUGAUUUGAAGGACUUGUACUUGGUUUGGGUAAAACUAAUUGUGGACGAAAUUACAACUGUGGAACCAUUUGGUGGGUUCAUGGUCAAACAAUUAUAACAUCUGCCCCAGUUUCACUUUCAGAAAAAUUGAAUUUUUGUUUUGGCGUGACUGAACCCCAGAGAGAGGUUGCAUACGUACCCUUUCGAAAUCAAGUCAGACGUAGUUCAAGGAAAUCAUUUGUGUUUGUUGUUGUUUUUUUGGCUUUUGGAUUCCAAAAAGGGUAGACAAGGAAAUGUAACCGGCUCAAAGGGCUUGCAAAUGGGUUGAUAGUGUUUGGGUAGCGGGAAUAAAAGCCUUCAUCAUUUCAAAUGCGCAAAGACAUCACUAAAGACAGCUUAGACAUAGUACCUUUUUAACGUGUCUUCAUUCAGAGCUUCUUCGGGAUCAUUUCCUUCAAUGUUACCCAAGUAUAAUGCCCCUCUUGGCUGUAUUUUUCUAAUGAUGUAUGGACCUUUCUAGUUCGGAGCAAAUUUUCCUUUUGCUUCCUGAUGAUGAGGAAGAAUACGCAUUAACGCCAUUUGUCCUACUUCAAAUUUCCUGUGCCGUACUUUCUUAUUAUAAACGUGGGCUUCUUUGUUGGUACACCUGCCCAUGACAAAAUGCAGCCAUCCGUUUCUCUUCAAUCAAAGUCAAUUUUUUCACUCGAGUCUUAACCCACUCACUGUUCUCAAACUCUGCUCCAGUUAUGGACUUUUCCCAAACCACGAACUAAUUUUCCUCAGUUGUUUUGAUUAUUUUCUUUUAUUUUCUCAAACUUACAUUCUUUGUAUUUAACUUUUGAUUCAUUAUUUCUAAGCCUGACGAAGUUCUUAGGAUCCGGGCAUGAAGUCCGCGAGCAUGUCAUGUUAUUUAAAGCUGCAUUAUUAUAACUGAAGAGGAAUAAAAGAGAAAACAUAGCAAACUCAGAAAAAUGAAAUAUUGAUUUCAUUUCUUGAAAUUGGGAAGAUAACAGGGUUGACAUUCAGGAAAAUAAAGACAAGAAACUAAGAAAACAUCCGAGUUACACCCUGGGAUAACUCGUGAUGCAGACAAAGUGGCAGGACAAGUCUACCCGGACUCCCGCCUGAGUGGGGAUGGUGUAGCCUUCCAAUUUUGAAGUUUAGCAUCUGGUCCCAUGUAUAGCACCUAUGUGGCGCUUGUGCCUUCUCCCAGGUGAACAAUUUGGGUUUCGUGAACAUUUUCCUCAUUGCCCCACAUAUUUCCUCACUUUCUUCAGUUAUGAAAACCUCAUCAUCUUCCUCUUUAUUGUACUUAGGCUCUUCUAGUAUACGUCUAAUAAUCAAUGGCUCAUUCAGCCGAGGUGGUUUGAUCGUCUCGUCCCCCAUACAACAUAGGCUUUCUUGGGUACGUAAAUUUGUGUUCCUUUUUUCAAAUCAAUUUUCUUUUCUGGUUCUGUCUCAGUGAUUUUACUCUUCUUUUCUCGUUCCUCGUGCUUCGAGGUCACUUUUGGCUUUCUUUCCGCAUCAGCGAUAGUAAUUAUAACUUUUAAGGCUUGAUCAAACUCCCUGUCCUCACAAAUCAUCCCGAUUACUAGCUCAUUGUUGUGAGCGGGCAGCGGAUUAUUGGUCACAUUUAGGAUAUCCUCAUCUUUCAACAAAAAUUUCCCCUGCUCUAUUAAAUUCUCCACCACUUGUUUCAUAGUCCAACAGUCAUUUGUAUGAUGGCCCUCUGCUCCUGAAUGGUAUGCGUACCUAACACCAGCUCUAUAGGCAGGCGAUGUCGGGUUUUGUCUGUUCUGAGGGACCGCCUGUAGUAGACACAUUUGGACAAGUUUCGGGGAUAGACUGCAGUAAGAUUCACCAAUUGGGGUAAUUUUUGGUCUCCUGGGUGGUUUCCAAGGAGGAAAGUUAUUCUGCGGAGGUCGAGGAUUAUUGUAGUUCUGGUGGGAGGCUGAUUUCUUAGGAAUGAAGGUUGAUUUCCGUUGGCAUUGGGUUGUGUCCGGGGAAAGGGUUGAGCGUCAUGAAUGCAUAUGGGGGUGGAACAUAAUUCAUAUCAGGAUGAGGGUAGUAACGUUGAUGGGUUCUGUCCAAAAACAUGGGUCUUAGAGCGUGACGUCUCUCUACCCUUGAGGUUGCCAUAACCAUUUCUUCUUUCUUAUUACUUUUGGUCGUUCCUCCAGACCCGCCUUGGAUAGCUUGGUAGGUUUCUCGUAUGGUUGACUAACUCAAAAUCCUGCCUGUCUUUAAACUGUUCUCUACCCAUUUCACUGAUUUUGAUGGCCUCUCCAAAAAGCUUGCCCAUGGCCGACAUCAUACUUUGGAAGUAAUCUGGUUCUUGAGCCUGGAGGAAGACAAUGGCCAUUUCUAUUUCAUCCAUGGGAGGUUUCACCCUCGAUGACUGUUCACGCCAUUUAAUGGCAUAUUCUCUUAAGCUUUCUGAGGGUUUCUUCUUCAAACUUUCCAAAGAAUUCCGCUCCGGCGCGAUGUCAAUGUUAUACUGAAACUGCCUUACAAAAUAUCUAGAAAGAUCAUCCCAAAUGUGCCAUCGUGAGACGUCUUGGUCGACAUACCAUUCUGAGGCAAUGCCUACCAAGCUCUCUCUGAAAUAGGCCAGCAACAACUCUCCUUUUCCGCGGCCCACGCAGUUGAUUACAGUACCUUUUAAAGUGAGCAGUGGGAUCGCCAUGCCCAUAAAUGCACAUGAGGGAACAUGCACAAAUGUGUAUAAGAAACACUUUUUUGCCCACUUAACCCUUGCAUAUUCUUUAAAUUCUGUUCAAGACUCCUCAUUCUUUUUGCCAUCUCAUCUUGCUCGAGAGAUUUGGGAGUUUGAUCUUGUCCUGGUGUAAUCUCACAUGGUGGUGGUUGAGGGUAAGAAGAUGUGGGGUAUUGCGGGAGUUUAGGAUGGUAAGUGGGAGUUUGAUAAGCGAAGGCCGAUGGAUCAAACCCAGGUCUUGGGAAUGCUGGCGGUGUUGUAGCAGAGGAUGGUAUAGCAUUAAAAAGGUUAGGAGUUGUCACAGGUAUGAAUGCCGGGGGACGAACCUCAGAAGUUGCUCCAACAAAAUGAGCGUAUAUAGUAGGCUUCCCCAGAGGGAUGUUCGGGUGACUGAUUGGAACAUUAGAGAUACCCGUUGGCCUUGGGAACAACUCGUGAAAUCUAGGGAUGGCUCUCGGGGGUUCUUUUCCGUAUGUCCAUGCGUCCCACAUCUCGAUUACUCUCAGACGCAAGAUUCUAUUCUCUUCAGUUGUGGAGGACUCCGAGGCCGGGACGCCCGAGAGUGGGUUGUCCUCUGAAAUAGGAAUUGUUGGGAGGGCCAUAUAUGAUGACAUUUCUGUACUUCCUUUGAUCUAGUAAAGUAGUGGUGUGAUGCCAGUUUACCAACAAACCAACCACCUAUUUCUAUAAACAAGGACUGGAUUGACAACAACAAACGGUUAGUCUUAAACAAAUAACGGAUACGUAAUCGCACGUUGGAGUGUGAUGCACCUAUACAGUUAAAUGGAAUUUUACAUGUUUUGAAACGGUUGCACGCAUCAUCCCAUCUUUCUUUUCCUUGAUUUUUAUACUCUUUCUUCUUUUCACAUUUUGUUUUUCAUUCAUUUUGACUCUUUGUCAGAGUUUUGACACUACUUGGGCAUUGGUGUUUUAAAAAAAUGAGUAGUUAUCUCUCUAAACUGCUAUUUUUUUUCACAAUUCUUUUCCAAAUUUCCCGAUUUCCAAAAGCCGGUCAGCAUGCAGGUCCGAAGCAAAUAAAUGCGCAAAACAAACAGGAUGCAGCAGGAUGGUCUUUUUUCAUUUCAGGUUGCUUGUCCUAGAUGGACCCAACCCCUGUAUUGAGUCCUUUAAGUCAAAUGCAACAUGAUACAAAAAACGUUCCUACUAGGGAUCGGCAUGAAGUCAAGUUAUUCUAGGUUCAAACCUGGGUAUAUGUUCUAGACAGUGUACCCGAGCGGACAACUCGAGUUGAGGAAUGAGCUAUAUUCUGGGAACCAAAAGGCAAUCCGGCUUAGAAACUUUUCGAGCCUCUUUCUUAUUUUAAGGUACGACACUAAUAGAACAGGGAGUCUCGACCAGCGAGCACAUCCCCGGAGGUGAGAAGAGAAGGGUUUCGGCGCAAUUUAUAUACAAUUCAGGUAAUAUCAAAACGGUAAAUAUUUAAGCACAUUAAGCAUGAAACAUGUAGGAAAAUUAGAUAUAAGCAAAUACAAAUCUAAGCUCAAAUUCUGAACCUCGAACAAAACGUUCUGGGUUCUCCUCCCCAGCGGAGUCGCCAGAGCUGUCACACCUCCUUUUUACACACUAUCCCGAAGGACAAAGUGUAAGGGAGUUUUUCCAUUUUAAGUGACAAUAUUCGGAUCGGGAUUAAUUAUUUAGUUAGAGUCUCCACUUGGGUAAGGUUUGCCUUUUGGUGUCCCAAGUCAUCGGUUUAUCUUGAAUCCCGAACCGAGAAAAGUUUUUUCCCAAUUGGAGUCUGCGAACCAAAAAUUCUAAGUAAGAAAUUCUGUUGACCCGAGAGAAGGUGUUAGGCACCCCCGGAUCCCCUGGUUCUAGCACGGUCGCUUAAAUUGUGGUAAUGGUUAAAUAUCUGAUUUUAAUACAUGUUGUAACUUAUGCUCUUUUAUUAACUUUAAACCGCUUUUAUUAUCAUUUAUAAUAUUAUUGCAACAUCGUGAAAACAUGUCACAAACCACGUCGCAAUCAAUGCACCCGUGGUUGUAAACAUAUUUCGAAUUCGUUGAGAUUUGAAUUUGGGUCACAUAAAUGUGCACCCAAAUUUUAGGCAGGUAAUUUUUUAAAGUGCUCGCCUAAAGAGACUAAGGCAUUUUUAUCUUUUGGGAAGACUAUGAAAUUCACUAAACGGUCCAUCCUUAAGUAUAAAAAUUAAUACAAAAUUUAUUAAGGUCCCGCAAUUUAUAUUUUUAUUUGGUGAUGCUCGUCUCAUUUAAUAUAUAAAAAGGACAAACCUAAAAUCAACUAUGAUUUUCUAUAUGUUUUUGUCUCUAAUAAUAAAACAAAGGUCCUAAUUAAUUAAAAACUUGGAAAAACCUACAUCUUAUUAUCCUAUCUCAAAUCAGUUAGACCUAAUAUCAUAAUAAGUAAAAACAAAGCAUCUCUGGCAAUUUAUCUAAAAUGAGCCCGAUUAUAAACAAAGAGCAAAACAUUAGUAGGCUUGUGGCCAGAAACCCAGGCCCAAACGAGAUGGAGUGUGGGGCAGAUAUCUUUACCUGAAGACAAACAACACUUUGGGCCUGCUUUGAAAAAUUGGGCCUAAGAGAUAAUAUACGACUUUAGGUUCAAUUGGAGAAAACAAACAGGGAACGAGCCUACACGGCCCAAGUUAAUUACCAACACAGACUAAGUGACUCUGUGCAAUUUGCAAUGCCUCCUCCUUAGAGUUAUAGAAAUCAUCUUUUACACUUAAAAGCCAAAUUUAUGCUUAAUUCCUUAAUUCACGUGAUUCCAGUUAGCAAUUCUAGGAAAUUCUCAUCAAUUCACUCUAUUCAAUUUAAUUGAACAUUAGUUUGAUUCUAGUUAUAUGCCUACUCUGUAACAUUACGAUAUUAGUGGUUUAAUUGCACAACACAUACAAACACAUUGAUGAUCCAAACCCCAAACAAAAAGUUACUCCAAACUAAUUCAAACUAAUAUUAUCAAAGUCGUUUGCUACUUCAAGACCUAAAUAGGAGAUUGUAUAUGAAUUCAAACCAACUUCUAAUUCUCAAUAACAACUACCACAAGAAUUCAGUUACACUUUAUGCAAUUACAGGGUUCAUAGCUUAACAACUGACUAAUUCACAUUCAAUGUUCAAUUUAGAAUAGUCCCAUCAGUCUAAUUAACAGUCCAGGAACUAUAUUAAUCAAAAAUGAACUAAACCAAAUACAAAUAAUUUGUUACAAUUAGACAAACACGUAUCAGGAGGUGAAUGAACAUUUAUUUCAUUUCUUUAACUUCAAAGAUGCAUCAAGGUGAAUUCGAAUGUGUACCUGAAGUGUAAUUCAAUUAAGAAGAAGGAGAGUAGUCAGCAGCAGUAGGAAAGCAAGCAAUACUAGUUUAAAAAUAAAACUCAAACCCAGGGGUGUGUUGAAAACCAAACACAACCAACAGAAUAGCCCAAACAGUGCCAAAAUACUCUGAAAUGACCCAGGAGACUUGUAUACCUAACUGAUUAAACCACAGUUAACUCCAACUAAACAAUACCAAUGCCCAUAUGAUUUCGAAUAUUUUCAGGAUUCGAGUAUGUAACAGAAGCAAAAAAUUCAAGCUAUUUUUCAGUUUUGGAAUGAACUAGAAGAUUGAACUAGAGCUGGAAUCAGAGGUUAAGGUAAUGGAACAAUAGAGGAAACUCUUCUUAACUUAUUCAAAAAAAAACUCAUUAAUUCAUUCAAAGACUUCUUAUUUAUACCCAAAACACACCCCUCUUUCCAGCCUGAUUACACACUCCUCCUUAUUAAGAAAUGUAUCCCGAUGUUACUCCCUGAAGACCACUACUGUCUAUCUCUUUUGUUAUGAAACAAAUAUGGGUAUGGGGUAGCCUGAAUAUUAAAUUCAGGUGUGCCUAACAACACAUAGAUUUCACUCAAUCCUAGCAUUUUAAUUCAGUGAAUAAAUUAAACUUCAUCAAUUAAACGAUUCCUAAACUGACCCACAAAUGGUACAGAUUGACACAAAAGUUAAUAACAAAACAAACAGUUCACGACAUUUUAAAUGACCAGGAAAUUAGAUUUAAAGAUGACAGAUUUAAGCAAUUCACGCACUAUAAUGAACUAGUCUCAUAUGAACAGACUUGUUCAAAUGGAUACAGAAGCAGAAAUGAAGCAGGAGGAGAAACAGACUGGAAAUUUAAAUGAAAAAUAAAGAUGGAAUAAAAAUAAAAGGUAAUUAACACACCUAAAAGACAAACGAGCCUUAUUAUUAAAUUGAACCUCAUCCUUUUUAUUUGGACCGAAAUGAGUCUCGAUUAUGUGUUCAAAAAUGAAAACACAUAGUCGAGGUCCAUUUCGGCCUCACUGCUCCGUCAUCAGCUUUAAGGGCUUCAUCAAACUCAAACCCCACAUCUGAUUUGAAAUUCGACCAGUUUUCAGGGAAUUCGAAGGAAACGAUUAUGAUAUUUGUGGUGAGGAGGCUAUAGGGGUUGAGGGGUAUUGAUUUUGUAUGGGUUAGGGUUGGCGCUGCCACCAAGAAAUUUUGGGGCGGCUCUAGGGUUCAUGUGGUCAAAAUGAUGUUCGAGGAGUUCUGGGUUGAUUCGACAAAAAUCAAAGGUGUCCUAGUGGUGAGGGAGGUCCAGGGGUCAAAGGGUGUGAGUUUGGUGGCCAUUGGAUGGAUUAGGGGUUUUGAUUGAUUCUUCGAUCGAAUAUUUGAAGAGCCUUGUUGGGAUUCGAUGGAACAUGUUAUGGGGGUUGGGACGGGGAGGUCGUACUGAGCCUAGGAUGUAAUGUUUAGACGAUUUGGGCCAUCGGAAAUGCCGUGAGGCAAUUUUCGAUGGGCGUAGUGCGGUGGUCGAAGGUGGAGGGUUAUUCGGGUCUCUGAGGUUUAGAGACGAUGAAGGUGGGGGCUUGGCUUGGGGGUGUGGAGUGUGGGUGUGUUUGGGAAUAUAUACUGGACGGUAGAUCUGAUCCAAGCUGUUCGAUCAAAUGAGAUCAACGGCUUGGAUCGUUUACUUAACUGGAACGACGCUGUUCAGCCAUACUAUAGGCCUAGUUGGUCUCUUGUGAGACUGGUUCGGGAUAGAAUGACGGGUACAUGGGUAUAUUUGUGACUGUUGGAUUGGUUUAUAUAGUCAGCUGAUAUCUUAGAUGACGAAACGACGUAGUUUCAACAUCAUACUAUGCUAUUUCGCUCAUCUCUGAGGUUGGCUGGUCUGGUCUGGGUGAGGCGUGAGGUUUGGGCUUGAUUGAUUUAAUUCAAAAAUGGCCAAGUUCAUGUUUUGCUCUCACCUUUUCUUUUAUUUUCUCUUCUUCUUUUUUUAAUUUCUAUUUACCAAAACUCUAAUUUAAAUUGUAAAAUCAAGAAUUGACUUUGAAAAAUACUAAUGGGCCCUUAAUAAUAAUUAUCACACAAAAAUUGAACACUAAUUACAAAUAAAAUCACGCACUUGGACAUUAAACGAAAAUACAAAGUACAUUAUUAUUAUUAUAUAUAUAGUGAUUUUUCCCAUUUUGUAACACAAACCUAAUUGCUCCUAAUUGUAUAAUUAAAUUCAAAUGCUACAUAUUUUGUAUUUUUUAUUAAUUUAACACACGAACAUGCACGAACGAAAUGCAAACAAUAUAGGAAAAUAACACACAACUCACAACAAUUGUAAACAAAAUUAAUUUAAUAUUCAUUUAUUUAUUUUUGAAUUUUCGGGAGUAAUUCUCAUAUAGGAAAGAAAAUCACAUGCUCAGAGAGACGAGGAAUUCGGUAAUGCAAAUUUUGUAAUUUUCUGAGAAGUGGGCCCGGGGAUCGGUUUUGCUAGUUUCGAGAUUUUUGCUAUUUCUCGAUUGUUUUCGAUUGGGUAUCGUUCCCUUUGCUUAUUAUGAUAUAUUCGCUCUGAUUUUGUUUAGAUUCGUCGCGCGUGGAGGUCGGUUUGAGAGGCAAAGGCGUCGCGGGCUAGAGAUUUCGCCGGCUCGAGGUGAGUAAUACUUGAAAAUGAUAUUCUGAGGGUUUGAAACCCUGAAUUUUCAGAUCAUAGUGUUGUAUUGAGGUGGCUUGCACGCCGGAUAUGGGCGUGGGGUAGAGCACCAUUGGGGAUUGAGACUCGGUCCGUCCCGAUUGAUGUAAUUACUACGUAUUUGACUGAAACUACUUGAUAUUAUCAUGAUUUGGGUUGAUUGCCAUGUUUUGGGCUUCGUACCGAUUAUUAGAAUCCUUCAGGGAUUGAUAUCACUGUUUUUGCAUUACUCUGCAUAUUAUUUGAUCUCGGUCCAAAGUUUUAAAUAUUGUUUGCAAACUCAGCCAUCUUUCUAUGAUUUGAAAACAUAAAAUAUAUCUUACUGACGUUUUUGUCAUGACCCUAGUUCAUCGAUUGUGAACAUGUAAUGACGGCACCUAGUCUUUACGGCUAGAUAAGCCUAACACAUUUCGGAAGUAAUAACAUUUACAAAAUUUUAAAAAAGUGAAAUAACAUGAAUAAUGUAUAUAGUUUCCGCGUGGCACAUACACUUUAACACUUUACAAUCUGGAACUAUCCCAAAGACCCGGAAACCCACGGGAAACACAAGCUAAGAGUAAAACAUACAUUUGCUCUAAUCAUCCAGGAAAGUCUAUAACAAAGAAGAACAUAAUAGCAUCUAACUGAUUAAAAGGGGUAGAGUGAGAGGGAGACUCUUCAGUCUGUGGACGCGGUAGAUAUACCUCAAGUCUUCAAAAUGCUCCAUGCAGCUACUUAUAAUGCCCUUGCGCAGAGGUACCUGGAUCUGCACAUGAAAAACAUGCGCAUAAGAGGAGUGAGUACACCAAAGAGGUACUGAGUAAGUGCCAAGCCUAACCUCGGUCGGGUAGUGACGAGUAAAGGUGGAGGCACUACUGAGAUAAAAACAUAAUAAUCAAUAUAAUAAGAAAAAACCAUAUGGAAAUAAUCUACUGCGAGAAUCUAGCAAAAUAAUAAUUAAGACAAUAACCGAGAACUAACACAGUAAGUAAAUAGAAGUGCAAAUCACCACCGGAUAUCUGUCAUCGGGGAUCUCCUGGUAUCCCGAGGAUCUCCUGCUAUCCUCAUCAUAUACUCAAGGGAUCUCCUAGUAUCCCGAGGAUCUCUUAGUAUCCUUCAUUUUUAAACAAGGGAUCUCUUAGUAUCCCGAGGAUCUUUGGUAUCCUCCAUUUUGUAAUCAUAUCUGUUCCAGGGAUCUCUUGGUAUCUCCCACUCUCAAUCAUAGAACGAAACACAUACAAACGGAGUUAGCGGGAUGUCGUCCGGCAGUACCAAUUCGUAAUACCACAUAAUUCAAAUAAGAUAAAGUGCUAAGUAAGUAAAAUUAAUGAAAUUUCUAGUCUAGCAUGCUUCACGUAGGAUAGGUAAUACAGUUUCAGCAAUUAAUCAAAUAAGUCAGCUAAACAUGCUUAUCCUAAGCUAAUACGGGUUAAAUUGCAUUUAAAAUAGGAAAAAUUGCAAGAAAACACAGUUAAAUAUUUUAAGUAAAAUGGAUUUUCAACAACCAGCACACGUAGACGCUCGUCACCUCGCGUACCGAGCAUUUAAAAUAACAAGUAAUAGAUCCUAAGGGGAGAGGUCCCCCACACAAGGUUAGACAAGCAGUUUACCUCGAGCCGGUACAAAAAUCACUAUGAAACGAUGCCCUUUCCACGAGUAUCCAACUCUGAAUGGCCCAAAUCUAUUCAAACCAAUUACAUAAUGUAAAUAACAUCGUAAACAACUAAUUACACUAUUAAAAUUAAAGCUAAGGCACAAAAAUAGGUAAAAUAACCAAAACGCCCCUCAGGACAACAUCUCGGAAUCGAAUAAUUUUCACAUUUUCAGAAACCUCGUACUCUCAUGAGUCUAACCAUAUAAAAAUCUCCCAAAUCGGAGGUAAAGUUCCCCCUCAAAUCCUCACAUUUAGGACUAAAAACUUUACCCCAAUUUUACUUCAAAAUCUAAAAUUAAAGGUUGAUUUGAGGUUAGAUUAGUGGGUAUUAAUCAUAUAGGAGUAAGGAAUCGUUAUCCAAUCGUUGUCUCUGAAAAACCUUCGAACAAUUCCUCAAAUCUGAGCUCUUUAACUUGAGUUUUGUUAAAAUGGAAGAAAAUAUCGUUUUUGAAAUAUUAAUAUUGUUCAGGGGUUAAAGCAUCGCGAACGUGGAGGGACUCUCGUGUUCGUGGAGAGGAAAAUGUAAGUGAAUACAUUUGCCCUUCGCGAUCACGAAGGAACGAAUGCGAACAUGAAGGCCUUCGGCUGAUAAGUACGCGAACGCGUAGAAGAAACAGGAGGGGUCCCAAAAUUGACCUUUCGCGAACGCAUAGUCUGGGAUGCGAACGCGUAAGAUGGGAGAGAUGGGCUUCAUGAAAACAGGGUGAGGGACACGAUCAUGAUGAAGGAGAAGGCCAAAGCUACACGAACGCGAUGGCUGCUUCGCGAACGCGUAUAAGAAAAUUUGACUUGCAAUUCUCUGCAGCAAAUUCCAAACUCCAAUUGCUCCGUGGAGCAUCCGAAACACACCAACGGCCCUCGGGACCUAAACCAAACCUACGGACAUAUCCCAUAGCAUCAUUUGAACUUUUACCAAUCCUGAAACCACCAAAACCAAACUGAAAACUCGAAUUAACCAAUGAUUUGAACCCCAAAACUCAAUCAAACUCACUUUCGAUCAAAAACCUAACCAAACCAAGUCCGAUUGACCUGAAAUUUUUCACGCACGUCAAAAAUGACAUGAUGGUGCUACAGAAACUUUCGGAAUCCCGUUCAGAUCCACGGAUCAAAAAUUCAGCGUCGGACUGAAAACUUCCAAAUUCUAACUUUCGACAUGCCUAGCCUAAUUGAGGUUCGGACAUCCAACACAUAUUCCGGACAUGCUCCCACCCCCAAAAUCACCCUACGGAGCUAACAGAACCAUCAGAUUUCCAUUCCGAGGUCGUCUUCACACUGUUCCAAUUACAGACCACUUUCCAACACUUAAACUCUCAUUUAGGGACUAAGUGUCCCAAAACACUCCGAAUUCUAACACCGAACAUCCCGGCAUCAACUCCCGAAUAUCAUUAACAUCGGGUACACAGAUCCGGCCCUGCAUCCUGUCAUCUCCAAUAGUCAUAUCCCUAGCAUCGCCAUGCUGAACUGUGUCCCUGGGAGAAGUAAUGAACUUAGGGGAAGCACUAAAUGGGGGAACAAGGCAUAAAUUCAAAAGACGACCGGCCGGGUCGUCACAUCCUCCUACACUUAAACGGUCAUUCGUCCUCGAACGAGCAUAGAGAACAUACCUAGAGUAGCAAAAAGAUGAGGGUAUCGGCUGCACAUAUCCCGGUCGGUCUCCCAAAUUGCCUCUUUGGCCGGUUGACCCCGCCACUGAACCUUUACUGAAGCUAUAUCCUUUGACCUGAGCUUUUGGACAUGCCUAUCCAAUAUCUUCACUGGCUCCUCAACAUAGGACAAAUCAUUAUCCAACUGGACUGAAGUGAACUCCAACACGUGGGACGGGUCACCGUGUUACCUCCAAAGCAUCGAGACAUGAAAUACCAUAUANNNNNNNNNNNNNNNNNNNNNNNNNNNNNNNNNNNNNNNNNNNNNNCCCCCCCCCGCCACUGAACCUUUACUGAAGCUAUAUCCUUUGACCUGAGCUUUUGGACAUGCCUAUCCAAUAUCGCCACUGGCUCCUCAACAAAGGACAAGUCAUUGUCCAACUGGACUGAAAUUAACUCCAACAUGUGAGCCGGGUCAUCGUGAUACCUCCGAAGCAUCGAGACAUAACAUACCAGAAGAACCCCGGCCAAACUGGGAGGUAAGUCAAGGUCAUAAGCAACCUCCCAAACUCGCUUCAAAAUCUCAAAAGGACCAAUGAACCUCGGGCUCAACUUCCCUUUCUUCCCAAACAUCAUGACGCCUUUUAUAGGCGAGACCCGAAGCAGAACUCACUCACUACCAUAAAGGAAACAUCACGAACCUUCCAGUACGUGUAACUCUUCUGUCUGAACUGGGCCGUACGAAGUCUUCCCUGAAUUACCUUCACCUUCUCGACCGUAUCCUGGACAAAAUCAGUGCCCAAUACCCUGUCACCCGAAUCGAACCAACCAACCGGGGAUCUGCAUCUCCUACCAUAUAAGGCCUCAUAGGGCGCCAUCUGAAUGCUGGACUUAUAAUUUUUGUUGUACGCAAACUCAGCCAAUGGCAAGAACUGAUCCCAAAACCCUCUAAACUCAAUCACGCACGCACGGAGCAUAUCCUCAAGAACCUGAAUGGUGCGCUCGGACUGUUUUUCCGUCUGAGGGUGAAAAGUUGUACUCAUAGUCACCUGGGUACCCAACUCCUGCUUGACGGCUCUCCAGAACUGUGAUGUAAACACUGAACCCCUGUCCGAGAUGAUAGAAACUGGAAUGCGGUGCAGACGGACAAUCUCCCUAAUAUAAAUCCCCGCUAACCACUCCGCUGAGUAAGUAGUACACACUAGAAUGAAGUGAGCGGACUUGGUCAGCCGAUCCACAACAACCCAAAUAGAAUCAAAUUUCUUCGCAGCAAAGGGAGACGAGUUACAAAGUCCAUAGUGAUCUUCUCCCAUUUUCACUCUGGAAUCUCCAUCUGCUAGAGUAACCCUCCCGGUCUCUGGUGCUCAGCCUUUACCUGCUGACAGUUGAGGCAUCUACCUACAAACUCCGCUAUGUGCUUCUUUAUCUGCCUCCACAGUAAUGUUGCCUCAGAUCUUGAUACAUCUUCGCAGCACCCGGAUGGAUAGAGUACCGCGAGCUAUGAGCCUCUAAUACUCUGUUAUGUUCUUCUUCAUCCGCCUCCACCAGUGAUGCUGCCUCAGAUCCUGAUACAUCUUCGCGGCUCUCGGGUGGAUGGAGUACCGCGAGCUAUGGGCCUCUGUCAAUAUCAACUCCCGAAUAUCAUUAACAUUGGGUACACAGAUCCGACCCUGCAUCCUCAAUACCCCAUCAUCUCCAAUAGUCACAUCCCUAGCAUCGCCAUGUUGAACUGUGUCCCUGAGGACAUUAAAUGAGGGUCAUCAUACUGCCGCUCCCUGAUAUGAUCAAACAAUGAAGACCAAGAAACUGGGGCAUUGGUCAGCCNNNNNNNNNNNNNNNNNNNNNNNNNNNNNNNNNNNNNNNNNNNNNNNNNNNNNNNNNNNNNNNNNNNNNNNNNNNNNNNNNNNNNNNNNNNNNNNNNNNNNNNNNNNNNNNNNNNNNNNNNNNNNNNNUACCUCACCAUCUCCAAUAGUCAUAUCCCUAGCAUCGCCAUGCUGAACUGUGUCCCUGAGGACAAGCAAAUGAGGUUCAUCAUACUGUUUCUCCCUGAUACGAUCGAACAGUGAAGACCGAGAAACCACACAGGCUAGAACCCGACUAAGCUCCGAAAGGUCCAAUCUCAUGAACUGACUGGCUAAGGCCUGAACAUCCAUCACCAUGGGUCUCUCUGAAGCUAGUAAAUAUGCCAAACUCUCCAAACUCUCCGCCAGGUGACUCAAGGCAUUUGCUACCACAUUCGCCUUGCCCUUCGAAACUAGUAAAUAUGCCAAACUCUCCGCCUGGUGAAUCAAGGCAUCGGCUACCACAUUCGCGACGAUAAGUACGCGAACGCGUAGAAGAAACAUGAGGGGUCCCGAAAUUGACCUUUCGCGAACGCAUAGUCUGGGAUGCGAACGCGUAAGAAGGGAGAGAUGGACUUCAUGAAAGAGGGGUAGGGGACGCGAUCACGAUGAAGGAUAAGGCCAAGGCUACGCGAAUGUAAUGGCUGCUUCGCGAAUGCGUAUAAGGAAAUUUGACCUGCAAUUUUUUGCAGCAAAUUUUAAACUCCAAUUGCUCUGUUGAGCAUCCGAAACACACCUGAGGCCCUCGGGACCUUAACCAAACCUACGGACAUAUCCCAAAGCAUCAUUCGAACUUUUACCAAUCCUUAAACCACCUAAAACAUUAUCGAGAACUAGAAUUAACCAAUGAUUUGAACCCCAAAACACAACAAAACUCACUUUCGAUAAAAAAUCUAACCAAACCAAGUCCGAUUGACCAGAAAUUUCUCACGCAUGUCCAAAAUAACAUGAUGGUGCUACAGAAACUUUCAGAAUCCCGUUCCGAUCCUCGGAUCAAAAAUGCAUUGUCGGACUGAAAACUUCCAAAUUCUAACUUUCGACAUUUCUAGCCUAAUUGAGCUUCGGACAUCAAACACACAUUCCGGACAUGCUCCCACCCCCAAAAACACCCUACGGAGCUAACGAAACCAUCAGUUCCAUUCCGAGGUCAUCUUCACACUGUUCCAAUUACGGACCAUUUUCCAACACUUAAACUCUCAUUUAGGGACUAAGUGUCUCAAAACACUCCGAAUUCUAACACCGAACAUCCCGGCAAACAAAAAUAGCAUUAAUGAACUUAGGGGAAGCAGUUAAUGAGGGAACAGGGCAUAAAUUCCAAAGACGACCGGGCGGGUCGUCACAUCCUCCUACACUUAAAGAGUCAUUCGUCCUCGAACGAGCAUAGAGAACAUACCUAGAGUAGCAAAAAGAUGAGGGUAUCGGUUGCACAUAUCCCAGUCGGUCUCCCAAAUUGCCUCUUUGGCAGGUUGACCCGCCACUGAACCUUUACUGAAGCUAUAUCCUUUGACCUGAGCUUUUGGACAUGCCAGUCCAAUAUCACCACUGGCUCCUCAACAAAGGACAAGUCAUUGUCCAACUGGACUGAAAUUAACUCCAACACGUGAGCGGGGUCAUCGUGAUACCUCCGAAGCAUCGAGACAUGAAAUACCAGAAGAACCCCGGCCAAACUGGGAGGUAAGGCAAGCUCAUAAGCAACCUCCCCAACUCGCUUCAAAAUUUCAAAAGGACCAAUGAACCUCGGGCUCAACUUCCCUUUCUUCCCAAACCUCAUGACGCCUUUCAUAGGCGAGACCCGAAGCAGAACUCACUCAUAACCAUAAAAGAAACAUCAUGAACCUUCCGGUCCGUGUAACUCUUCUGUCUGGACUGCGCCGUACGAAGUCUUCCCUGAAUUACCUUAACCUUCUCGACCGUAUCCUGGACAAUAUCAGUGCCCAAUACCCAGGCCUCACCCGGCUCGAACCAACCCACCGGGGAUCUGCAUCUCCUACCAUAUAAGGCCUCAUACAGCGCCAUCUGAAUGUUGGACUAAUAAUUUUGGUUGUAUGCAAACUCAGCCAAUGGCAAGAACUGAUCCCAAGACCCUCCAUACUCAAUCACGCAUGCACGGAGCAUAUCCUCAAGAAUCUGAAUGGUGCGCUCGGACUGUUUUUCCGUCUGAGGGUGAAAGGUUGUACUCAUAGUCACCUGGGUACCCAACUCCGAACCCAUAUCCGAGAUGAUAGAAACUGGAAUACGGUGCAGACAGAAAUCUCCCUAAUAUAAAUCCCCGCUAACCGCUCCGCUGAGUAAGUAGUACACACUGGAAUGAAGUGAGCGGACUUGGUCACGAUCCACAACAACCCAAAUAGAAUCAAAUUUCUUCACAGUCAUAGGGAGACGAGUUAAUCCAUAGUGAUCUUCUCCCAUUUUCCUUCUGGAAUAUCCAUCAGCUGGAGUAACCCUCCCGGUCUCUGGUGCUCAGCCUUUACCUGCUGACAGUUGAGGCAUCUAGCUACAAACUCUGUUAUAUCUUUCUUCAUCCGCCUCCACCAGUAAUGCUGCCUCAGAUUCUAAUACAUCUGCGCGGCACCCGGGUGGAUGGAGUACCGCGAGCUAUGGGCCUCUGUCAAUAUCAACUCCCGAAUAUCAUUAACAUUGGGUACACAGAUCCGACCCUGCAUCCUCAAUACCUGAAGCUAGUAAAUAUGCCAAACUCUCCAAACUCUCCGCCAGGUGACUCAAGGCAUUUGCUACCACAUUCGCCUUGCCCUGGUGAUAAAGAAUAGUAAUAUUAUAAUCCUUCAGUAGCUCCAACCAUCUCCUCAGGCGCAAGUUCAAAUCUUUCUGUUUGAACAAGUGAUGUAAUAUCCGAUGAUCCGUGUAAAUCACACAAGGCAUGCCGUUCAAAUAAUGACACCAGAUCUUCAAGGCAUGAACAAUAGCAUAUAACUCAAGGUCAUAGAUAGGGUAGUUCUUUUCAUGUACCUUCAGCUGUCUGGACACGUAAGCAAUCACCCUACUAUCCUACAUCAACACCGCUCCAAGUCCGACUCGUGAGGCAUCAUAAUAAACUGUAUAGGACCCCAAACCAGUAGGCAAUAUCAGAAUAGGAGCUGAAGUCAAAGUCAUCCUGAGCUUCUAAAAGCUCGCCUCACACUCGUCUGUCCACUGAAAUGUAGCACCCUUCUAGGUCAAUCUAGUCAUAGGGGCUUCAAUCGAUCAGAACCCCUCCACAAAAUGACAGUAAUACCCCACCAGGCCAAGGAAACUGCAGAUCUAUAUAGCUGAGGAGGCCCUGGGACAACUCUGUACGACCUCCACCUUCUUUGGAUCCACCCGAAUGCCCUCACUUGAUACCACGUGUCCUUGGAAUGCCACAGAACUCAACCAUAACUCACAUUUUGAGAACUUUGCAUAUAAUUUCUUCUCUCUCAGGGUCUGAAGCACUGUCCUCAGGUGUUGCUCAUGAUCUUCCCAAUUCCAGGAGUAUACAAGAAUAUCAUCUAUGAAAAUAAUGACGAAUGAGUCAAGAUAAGGCCUGAAUACACUGUGCAUCAAAUGCAUAAAAGCUCCUGGGGCAUUGGUCAGCCCAAAUAACAUGACAAGGAACUCGAAAUGAACGUACCGAGUCCUGAAAGUAGUCUUCUGGAUAUCUGGAUCCUGAAUCCUUAACUGGUGAUAACCUGAGCGCAAAUCAAUCUUAGAAAACACAUGUGCGCCCUGAAGCUGGUCAAAUAGAUCAUCGAUACGAGGUAAAGGAUAAUGGUUCUUCACUGUAACCUUGUUCAACUGACUAUAAUCGAUACACAUGCGCAUAGAACCAUCUUUUUUCUUCACGAACAAGAUAGGAGCACUCCACGGCGAAACACUAGGUCGAAUAAAACCCUUACCAAGAAUUUUCAUGUAGCUGAUCCUUCAACUUCUUCGACUUAGGAGGAGCCAUACGGUAAGGAGGAGUGGAUAUGGGAUGAGUGCCCGUCAACAAAUCAAUACCAAAAUAAAUGUCUGGGUUGAGUGGCAUGCCCGGAAGAUCAGCUGGAACCACAUCGGGAAAAUCCCAUAGCACUGGGACAGAAUCAGCAGAAGGAGUAUCAGCACUGGCAGCUCUCACAUAAGCUAAAUAUGCAGCGCACCUCUUUUCAACCAUACGUUGAGCUUUAAGAAAAUAUAUAACUCUAUUGGGAGCGUGAUCAAAAGUACCACUCCACUCAAUACGCAGAAUCCUGGCAUAGCCAGCUUCACAGACAUAGCGUGACAAUCAAGAAUAGCAUACUGGGGAGACAACCAGUCCAUAUCCAAGAUAAUAUCGAACUCAACGAUAUCAAGUAAUAAAAGAUCUGUCCUAGUCUCAAAACCAUGAAUAGUAACCAAACAUGACCUAUAAACAAGGUCCACAAUAAGGGAAUCUCCCACGGGAGUAGAAACAUAAACGGAGAGCUCAAUGUCUCUUGGUCUAUACCCAAAUGCGGAGCAUAAUAAAAUGACACGUAAGAAUAGGUAGAGCCUAGAUCGAAUAGAACUGAUGCCUCUCUAUGACUAACCAAUAUAAUACAUGUGGUAACAGAAUCGAAGGAAACAGCCUUGACACGAGCAGGAAGAGCAUAAUAUCUGGCUCGGCCCCGCCCUCGAGGGCGAUCCCUAUCUCCCCGAUCUUCGCCCCUGGCUGGCAGGGCAGGUGGGGUGGCAGCUGGAGCUGGAACAAUGGCCUAAGAAUCAUGUUGGGUAUGCUGCGGCUGAGAAUGUUGUGGAGGUGCACUCAUCCCAAGCCUAGGGCAAUCCCUCACUACAUAGCGGGUGUCCCCGCACUCAAAACAAGCUCUGGAGGGCGCGGUGGUUGUGACUAACUGGGUCCACCCCUACUGGACUGACAUCUGAAAGCACCCCGCGCAGGAGGCACACUAGAAACCGGAGGUGCAUAAUAAGGCUCAUGAGAUCUGGGAGGAGCUGGAGUACUGCUGGAUGAAGGAAAAGCUGAAUGAACUGGGCGACCCAUAUAGCCCCUACCAUGAUGUCCUGCUACUGAUGUACGGAUAUCAGAGUAGUGACCCGACUCGUGAGACCUCUUGGCCUCUCUCUCCUCUCGCUUUUGGCGUGCAUACCCUCUAUCCUCCUGGCUAUGCUCACUACCUACUGAUAAGGUAUAUCCAUCUCCAACUCUCGAACCAUGCCAGACCUGAUGGGGGGGAAUAAGACCCUCAAUAAACCGGCAAACCCUCUCGCGGACAGUAGCCACCAAAGCCGGUGCAUGUUUUGCCAGCCUAGUAUAACGGAUGGCUUACUCAGAGACGGUCAUAGUGCCUUGCCUCAAAUGCUCAAACUACAUGCGCCAUACAUCCCUGAGGCUCUAGGGAACAAACUCCCUCUAGAACAUAUCCGAAAACUGAGUCCAAGUUAGGGAGACAGCCUUAUCCGGACUGUCUAACUCAAAGGUGCACCACCAAUCAUAAGGGGCUCCCCCAAGCUGGAAAGCUACGGAAGAAACCCCGCUUGAGGUAGUAAUACCCAUACUGCGAAAUAUGCGGUGACAAUCCUCCAGAAACCCCAAAGAAUCAUUCGUAGCUAGUCCGCUAAAAACCGGAGGAUAUUUCUUGAACCUCUCCAGUCUACGCUGCUCAUUCUCAGAAGCAGGUGCCCCAUCCUCGGGCUGAAUCGGUACUGCAAGCUGGACAGGGAUAAUAUCUGGAAUCUUCCCCAUAUGCACUCUCUACUCCGGAGUGCGGCCUGCGGGAUUCUGGGGUCCUCCCCCGAACUGGGAUGUGGCUGCGGGAAGGGGAAGCAACCCUGCCAGUGACAGUGUAGUAUACAUGCUUAUAAACUGUGCAAAUGCCUCCUGAACAGCUGGAGUAAUUGUGGUUGUGGGCGUGUCAGGUGCUUGAGGCCUGGCUGGAUCUGCUGGUGGUACUCGACGGCAUCUCGCGCAGGAGCUCUGGCUGCAAUACGUGUGCUUCCACGACCCCUGCCUCGGCCCUGCCUCUAGCGGCUGUAGGAGAGGGUGUGGGUCCCUGAUCAUCCGAGGUCGUGCGUGUCCUCACCAUAUGUGAGAGAAUAGAAGACAAAAGUUUAGAGUCGAUAUAAAAAAUAUAGCACGACAAGGAAUUCAAUGAGGUGAAUAUUUUUCCUAAACGGUUACACACCCUCCCGUAGAUAAGUACAGACGUCUCCGUACCGAUCAGCGAGACUCUAAUAAAUGGGCCUGUGUCCCGUAACUCAUAUGAACCCAGAGCUCUGAUGCCAACUUGUCACGACCCUAGUUCACCAAUUGUGAACAUGUCAUGAUGGCACCUAGUCUUCAUGACUAGGUAAGCCUAACAUAUUGCGGAAGUAACAAUUUACAAAAUUUUAAAGUCCAAAAGUGAAAUAACAUGAAUAAUGUAUAUAGUUGUCGCCUGGCACAUACACUUUAACACUUUACAAUCUGGAACAAUUCCAAAGACCAGAAAACCCACGGGAAACACAGGCUAAGAGUAAAACAUAACAUUUGCUCUAAUCAUCCGGAAAAUUCUAUAACAAAGAAGAACAUAAUAGCAUCUAACUGACUAAGAGGGGUAGAGUGAGAGGAAGACUCUCCGGUUUGUGGACCGGCAGAUAUACCUCAAGUCUCUGAAAUGCUCCCUACAUCUACUAAUAAUGCCCCUGAGCAGAGGUACCUAGAUCUGCAUAUGAAAAACAUGCGCAGAAGAGGCGUGAGUACACCACAACGGCACUCAGUAAGUGGCAAGACUAACCUCGGUCGGGUAGUGACGAGGAAAGGUGGAGGCACUAGUGAGAUAAAAACAUAAUAAUCAAUAUAAUAAGAAAAAACCAUAUGGAAAUAAUCUAAUGCGAGAAUCCAGAAAAAUAACAAUUAAGACAGUAAUCGAGAACCAACAUAGUAAGUAAAUAGAAGUGCAUAUCACCACCGGAUAUUUGUCAUUGGGGAUCUCCUAGUAUCCCGAGGAUCUCCUAGUAUCCUCAGCAUAUACUCGAGGGAUCUCCUAGUAUCUCGAGGAUCUCUUAGUAUCCUUCAUUUUUAAACAAGGGAUCUCUUGGUAUCCCGAAGAUCUCUUGUGAUCCUCCAUUUUGUAAUCAUAUCUAGGCCAAGGAUCUCUCAGUAUCCCGCACUCUCAAUCAUAGAACGAAACACAUACAAAGGGAGUUAGCGGGAUGACGUCUCGCAGUACCAAUUCGUAAUACCACCUAAAUCAAAUAAGAUAAAGUGCUAAGUAAGAAUAAUUAAUGAAAUUUCUAGUCUAGCAUGCUUCACAUAGGACAGGUAAUACAGUUUAAGCAAUUAGGCAAAUAAGUCAGCUAAACAUGCCUAUCCUAAGCUAACAUAUGUUAAAUUGCUUUUAAAAUAUGCAAAAUUUCAAGAAAACACAGUUAAAUACUCUAAGUAAAAUGGAUUUUCAACAACUAGCACAAAUACACGCUCGUCACCUCGGGUACCGAGCAUUUAAAAUAACAAGUAAUAGAUCCUAAGAUGAGAGAUCCCCCACACAAGGUUAGACAAACCACUUACCUCGAACCGGUACAAAAAUCACUAUGAAAUGAUGCCCUUGCCACGAGUAUCCAACUCAGAAUGGCCCGAACAUUUUCAAACCAAUCACAUAAUGUAAAAAAUAUCGCAAGUAACUAAUUCCACUAUUAAAAUUAAAGCUAAGUCACAAAAAUAGGUAAAAUGACUAAAAUGCCCCUCGUGCCAACGUCUUGAACCUCGUACUCUCAAGAGUCUAACCAUAUACAAAUCUCGCAAAUCGGAGAUCAAAUGCCCCCUCAAAUCCUCACAAUUAUGUCUAAGAAUUUUACCCCAAUUUUCUAAGAAUAUUACCCUAAUUUUCAUUGAAAAUCCGAAAUUAAAGGUUGAAUUUGAGGUUAGAUUAGUGGGUAUUAUUCAUAGAGGAGUAAGAAAUCGUUACCCAAUCGUUUUCUCUGAAAAACCUUCGAAAAUCCAUCAAAUCUCAGCCCUCUCGCUUGAGUUUUGUUAAAAAUGGAACAAAACCUCAUUUUUGAAAUAUUAUAAUGUUCAGGGGUUAAAGCAUCGCGAACGAGGAAGGACUCUCGCGUUCGCGGAGAGGAAAAUGUAUGUGACUAUGUUUGCCCUUCACGAUUACGAAGGAAUGAAUGCGAACACAAAGUCCUGGGGCUGAUAAGUACGCGAACGCGACGAGGCUUAUGCGAACGCGUAGAAAAAACAUGAGGGGUUCGGGAAUUGACCUUUCGCAAACGCGUAGUCUGGGACGCGAACGCGUAAGAGGGGAGAGGUGGGCUUCACGAACGUGGGGUAGGGGACGCGAUCGCGAUGAAGGAGAAGGCCAAAGUGAUGCGAACGCGAUGGCAGCUUCGCGAACGCAUAUAAGGAUAUCUGACCUGAAAUGUUCUGUAGCAAAUUCCAAACUCCAAUCGCUCCGUUGAGCAUCCGAAAUACAUCCGAGGCCCUCGGGACCUCAGCCAAAUCUAUGGACAUAUCCCAUAACAUCAUUUGAACUUGUAUCAAUCCUUAAAUCACCUAAGACAAUGCCGGAAACUCGAAUUAUCCAAUAAUUUGAACCUAAAAACUCCAAAACUCAAUCAAACUUGCUUUCGAUCAAAAACCUACCCAAACCAAGUCUGAUUGACCUGAAAUUUUGCACGCACGCCCAAAAUGACAUGAUAGAGCUAUAGAAACAUUUGGAAUCACGUUCCAAUCCUCGGAUAAAAAAUUCACUAUCGGAUCGGAAACUUCAAAUUCUAACUUUCGGCAUUUCUAGCCUAAUUGAGCUACGGACAUCCAAAUAACAUUCCGGACACGCUCCCAACCCCAAAAUCACCUAACGGGGCUAAAGAAACCAUCGAAUUUCCAUUAUGAUGUCGUCUUCACACUUUUCUGAUUACGAACCACUUUCCAAUACUUAAUCUCUCAUUUAGGGACUAAGUGUCCCAAAACACUCUGAAUUCUAACACCGAACAUCCCAGCAAACUAAAAUUGCAGUAAUGUACUUAGGGGAAGCAGUUAAUGGAGGAACGGGGCAUAAAUUCUAAAGAUGACCGGCUGGGUCGUCAUAAUUUUAAGCUGAGGACUGUUAUUUUAAUAUUACCCAAGUUACUUAUGUGCAUUUCUGGACUGUGCAUGGAUCGGGCUGCACACUGUAGCAGUGUUAUAGUGAUUUCUAGACUGUGCAUUGAUCAGACUGCACAUUGCAGCGGUAUGAUAUUGAUAUUGCGCUUGGGCUGUAGGAUUCCCUCCGGAGUCUGAACCCCCACAAUGAGCGAGUACCCAAAUGGAUCAGGCUGCACGCCGCAGCGUUCAUGUGCAUCGCAUUGCAUUCAUACAUUGGUUUCUGUUUGUACUACGUGGCAUGACAUUCAACACUCUCAUAUCAUUGGCAUCCAUGCUAUUUCUUGCACUGUUACCAUAUCCCUGGUGUUAUUUGUUAAUGGAGUGCUGCGCCCAAGGGGCUGUCUUAUGUGCGAACUUGCACUAUCUGAUUAUGCAUUCACUUGCUUGACUAUUGGAAAAAGGAUAUUUUUAAAAGAGGUUUUUAACUGAGCCAGAUAUUUCCUAAAGGAUUUUUCCCGGACUUACUAUUUUCUAAAAGGGUUGUGCUGUCUCAUAUUGCAUGAUGGAGUGCUCUUAUGUAUUUUUUUGACACUCAGUUAUUAUUUACUCUAAUUACUCACUGAGUUGUAGUACUCACUUUACUCCCUGCACCUCGCAUGCAAUAGCAGGUAUUGUUCGCCCGAAAGCGGGUUAUUAGUGGAUUGAAGGUAUUACUAUUGUAGUUAAGCAAGGUGACCGCCAGCGUUCGCGGCACCGGACUUCAUCUUUUGAACUUCAGCUUUAUUUUAUAUAUAUAAUUGACCAUGUAGUGGUGUUCAGUCUUCCUUAGAUGCUCGUGUGUUGUGACACCCCGGUCGGGUUGUGUUGGAAGUAAUUAAUAGUUUUUAAUGCUAUUAAAUCGUACUUUCUAUUCAUUUAUAUUUAAAAAUGGUUAAAGAGAGGACUUAGGUUAGUUGUCUGGCCUUUUCUUCACGAUAGGUGUCAUCACGACCGGAUAUGGAAAUUGGAUCGUGACAUAUUCCCACUACUAUCAGCAAUUGAUGUGGUCUUUAUUUGUCUUAAUAAGCCUAUAUUACUUAGAAUGUCACUCCCACUGCGUACGUUUCACAAUUGAUAGACAUAUAUUUGCCUUAAAGUUUAAAAAUAGUACCGGAUUUAUAAGUUAUAUAUAUCGAAACUCUAUUUAGAAUGUCAAAACCAUAAAGUGAUAAUCUCAUUAUAAUUUCAUGGACUAUCAAUUUGCUUUUGUUUAAUAUUCUUUGUUUUCAUUCCUUUUGGUUUUGAAUUUAUUUUUUAUUCCUCCUUUCACUCACUUUUUUAUUUCACACAUCGUUAAACAUGACAAAAGUAAGUUCUUCACUUAUUCCCCUUUUCUCUCUGUGUUAAUAUAUAAUAUAUCCUAUCUUUAAUUUGUAAAAUCUCCUAAUCACUAUAAUCAUAUGUAAUUUCUACACUUUCUAAUGCAUCUGGUGGUUUGUUUUGCUUUUUUUGUCCCCAAUAAGAGCUAAAUAAUGUUGAUGUGCUGUGCUUAAGGUAUUAAAUUUGCGAAAAAUGGAAUAUGAUUUUAAUUUUGAGUUAGCAUAUCAUUACAGAUGAGUGGUUGUGAUAAUUAAAUUUUACAAGAUAUAGAAUUCUAUCUCGGUAGGAAAAAAUGAUAGGUUGAUAGGUUAGACAUCAUUUUAAUAGAAAGAAGGAAACAUAAGUAUUUUCAUGUGUUCUUCUUUCUUUACAUCUACAAAUUUAUAAUACCAUUUAGCAAAUUCAUAUAUAUUUUCUAAACCAAUAUAAUCGGUGAACAUUAUAUACCAUAAUAGUAAAAUCACUUAAUUAUUUUUGUUAUACCUUUUUUUUUCGGGCAGACCACUAGGCAAGAGCCUAGGCGUAUUUUUCAUUAAAAAAGGAAAAUAAAAAUUACAACAAAAUAGGAAAAGUAAAAUAAGGGGGACAAUAACACCGAUAUUGUUACCCAUAUAACUCAACCGGCGUAUACCUCAUCUUACUAAUCCUAUUGAGGCAAAACAAUUAGCCUCAUGAACUAGCACGCAUCUAAAAAGUAAAAACUAGCAAGAACUAAGAAAUAUAUGAUCAUCACAGAGUUUAUAACAUACUCUGUGGUGAUGUUACAUAGAAUAAUACUAAAGUGAUGGUACAAUAAAAAGAUAAAAAAGCCAUAAAGGAGCUCUCUUUUUUGUCUAUUAUUGCGAAAGCUUCAAUUUGAAGAAAUCACUUAACUAUUUUUGUUAUACCUUGAAUAGGUUCAUAUGAUGUUUUAUGACUUGCAUUUAUGACUAGUUCAGAUUUCGAGAAAUCAGGAGCGAUUUUGAAAACUUGCUAGAUAAUUGAAGGCUUUAAGUUGAGAAAAUUAACCAAUGUCAACAUUUUAGAUAAACGAGAUUUAAUUAGUGAUUUGAAGGUUCUAAUUGAUUCGUUAUAAUAAUUUUGGACUUGUAUAUAUAUUUUAAUAGGGGCUUAGGUGGACCAAAAAGGAUUCGGCGCUUUUGGUGGAAUGUUAUCAAUUUGAAAAACUUGUCUGACUUGGGAUUGACUUAAGUAUUACUGCAUUUCACUCCGUGUUUUGAUCCUUCGGAUAGAUCAAGGUUACUUGAACUUUCUUUUUUGGUAACUAAAUAUUUUAUUUACCAAGUAUAAUAUAUAUAGCUUAAAACAUAACCAAACUUUCAGCAGACUUGGACAUGCAACCCCAAGUCAGCAUUCUACACUUCCUCUAUUACACUCUACUUAAGUAUAAAAAUUCAAAGAGAUAAUGCAUAAAUACCCUAUUAAACUUGUCCUGAAAAGUCAUUUACACAUCUUAACUUUACGGGUAUUCUAACACCCCACGAUUGUUUAAUGAAAUGUAUUUAGUUACUCUCUCCCUACACUUGGCCCAACUAUAAUAACUUAAGUGGUUUACACGCGCCUGUAUAAUAAAGCCACAUAACUAAAACCUUCCGUAAAUAAACAAAAACACCUAAAAUAGAUAUAAAUAAGUCGUUUAACCCAUUAACCCCUCGGUCAAUAAUUUCCAAAAUGAAGAACCCUAACCUUUGACCCCACCCUCGAUGAUUGGAUUAGCAUCUCCAAAAUCCUAAAGCCUGACCAAAAUUGAAGGGACUUGUUGCAAAAUCCAAACGAUUUCCUUGUUCUUGCUCCUUUAAUUUUGUUCGUGAUUGUUCCUGUUCACGAUUUGGUUGAAUACCCGUUCGAACUUGAAGGUCACUGAAGAAUCAAGUGCAAACGUUCUCUGUGUUUUAGCUUGGAGGUAAACACAUAAAUCUUAGCCUUUUCUAUCAUCAACCCAAAAUGUUAUCUCUUUGUUUUUCUUGUUGCAUGUAUUCUUACCUCUUCUAUAGCGGUCCAAUAGUAUAUAUUAAUCCUUUGUUACUUUAUUUUCUACUAUAUUCAGGUAUUGCAAUAUUUUUUUUGAACUUGUUACUCUAAGGAUUUUUCGCGGUGGAAAAAUCUCCAUCGAUAAGUUGGAUUGCUUUCCAAUGAAGGAUUAUAAUUGUGGGAUAAUGACUGAUUGUUUUUAUGUAGAUGUUGAUAGGUUCUCUUAUUUUGAGUUCUUAGGUUAUGUAAAAGAGUUUGGAUACAAUGCUUCUUAUGUUGUUAUUCAUGUUGGUCCACCUAAUUGUCCUGUUUUGGUAGUAAAUAAAGUUUAUAGGGACCUUAUGGGUAUUUGUAAGACUUAAAAAAUUGGGAUAUUUUGGAGGUUUAUGUAGAGCCCAUGGUUGAAGAAUCUUUAGUGCCCCCCCCCUCCCCCAUUCGAUUAUGUCAGCCAAGUUGUGGAUGAAAGUACUGUUACUUUUGAGAAGGAAUAUGGUCAAGAUGUGAGGGGCUGUGAGGGUUUGGGAACUAGUGAAAAGGUAUCCAAUGCUUCUGAAAAUAGUCCCAAUAAUAGUGUGCUCACAGCUAUUACUACAGAUGAUAGCUCAAACUCCUAAUCUUAAUCAAACUCCUCAAACUCUAGUAGCAGCAUUGGUAAUAGCUCAGAUUCAGACCAUGAGGAGUUGUCUGAAGAAGGAGAAGUUGAAUAUGGCAGUGAUACACAUGCUGAAUACAGGGCAUUCAGGGUAAAAAAUGGGGCUGUAAAAAGGAGGAAGAGGAAAGAAAGUGCUCCUGAACAAGAGCAUGUUAAGCUAGGUAAGAGAGGGCCAAAUGUUGGGUAUGAUGAAUAUGCAUCUAGGAAUAAGAAGACUUUAGAAGGUAAGAUAGUUGGUGAUGAGCAUUAUUAUCCCUCAGAUGAAGUUGCUAGUUUUGAGACAGAUCCAGAUGAUGGUGAUGAUGAAGAUGAAGGGGAGGUGCAACAGACAUGCAAAAGGUAAUCCAUCUGUUUUUAUUGUAUUAUUUUUUAGCUAGUGUUUUUGCUACUGCUGUCAGCACUUUUAUGACCAUCUUUGUUCUGCCAUUCUAUAUUUUUCAGGGGCUUGAAAAUGCUAUAGCAGACCUACUUCCAAAUUUUAAGCAUAGGAUGCGUGCAAGGUACAUCCUAGCUAACAGGUCAAAGAAAUGGAGGGGCAUAGAGAGAAGGAACUGCUUCUGGAGGUGUGCAAGGUCUACAUAUGAAUGGGAAUUGAAGAAAAAUCUGGAUGACAUGAAGAAAUUGGGGACUAAUAUAGUUGAUGAACUAUUGUACUACAACAUUGAAUAUGGAGUAAGGUUUAUUUAAACACUUUCUGCAAGUCUGAUAGUGUUGACAACAAUAUGGCAGAAUGUUUCAAUGCCUGGAUUUUGGCAGCAAGGCAGAAGACUAUAGUGACAAUGCGUGAAGAAAUCAGGGUGAAGAUGAUGAAUGUGUACUACUGAAGUGAAGCAUUUGGUGGACAUCAACAGACAAACUUGCACCUGUAGAGCUUGGAUGUUAAAAGGUAUACCAUGUGCUCAUGCAGUGGCUCCCUUGCAUUUCAAAAAUCUGGAGCCUAUAAACUAUAUGUCUCAUUGGUACAGUAAUGAAACUUAUAUGAAAAUAUACAGCCAUAAUAGCUCAGCUAAGACAGCUUGGAAACAAUUGGAUUACUGAUUUUUCACCAAUGGCCAUGAAAGUCUUGGAAGAGAAUAUUGAAAGGUCAAUGAAGUGUAACACCUUCUGGAAUGGUGAGUAUGGUUUUGAAGUGAAGCAAGAAAUAGGUACUACUGAAGUGAAGCAUUUGGUAGACAUCAAUUGGCAAACUUGCACCUGCAAAGCUUAGAUAAUAAAAGGCAUACCAUGUGCUCAUAUAGUUGCUGCCUUGUAUUUUAAAAAUCUGGAGCCUAUAAACUUACAUGAAAACAUACAACUACUUUCUUCAGCCUGUCUUGGGUAUGAAUAUGUGGCCAGAGUCACAAAACCCACAUGUUCUUCUACCUACUAUCAAGAAGAUGCCUGGAAGGCCAAAGAAGGUUAGAAGAAAAGAGACUGCUAAAAAUAAGACAGGAAAAUUAUCCAAGGGUGGAGUGGAAAUUACAUGUAGCAAUUUUCAUAACAAGGGUUAUAACAAGAGGGGAUGUGCAAAGGCUGCUGGAAAAAUACUGUUGCAACCUCAUCAAGUGCUAUGCCUACAAGUGUUGGUAGUUCAAUGCCACCAAAGCAAAGCACUGGAAGAGGAAGGGGAAGGCCAAAAGGUGCUAAAGAAAAGGUGAAGUUCUUCCCUUUAAUAUCUUGUUUGUCUUUUUAAUAAUCACCAUAUUUUUAAUUUUCCUUAUUUCAUGUAGCAUGUUUGUACUAGAAGUGAUGUAAGAACACAUUUUAAGAAACCAAGGAUGGUUAGCAUUCGUGUUUUAUACACUCAAAGUGGCUUCAGAAUUCAAAAUGUAAGUCCAACACAAGCUAUCAUAUUUAGGUUAUUUCAGUUGUGUGAUUUUCUGUUGGUUUAUGGCAGCCUAGAAUGUCAUCUACAAACUUUAGAGAUGAGGUCCUUGGCAGAAGUUACUGGAGAUCUAUGCCAUAAACCAACAAGAGGUGUAAAGUGGAAGGGUAAAGAAGCUAUGACAUCUAGGCAGCUGCACCAAUUUGAGAUGCAAGAAGAUCAUUAAAACAAGGUCUAGGGCUGCUACGUUGAGCCAGGAAAGCACAACCAAUGCAAAUCAACCCAGAUGAUGAAGCUUUGAUAUUGUUUGAAAACUGCAAUUCUGUUUUGGUUUUGUCUCCACAAUUUUGGUUUGAAAACUGCAAUUCUCUAUGUUGACAAGUUAAUGUAGGUAGCUAUAGACUACUUUGUAACAAACUACAAGUCUGUUUUGGUUUUGUCGACUGGAAUUCUGUUUUGUUGUUAUGUAAUGUCACUAUGUGACUUUUAUGUAAGUAAUGCAUAUAUGAUGUUUUAGUGUUUUUAGUUCAAACAUUUAGCUUAAUUAGCUGUUCUGUCUAGGGUUUGUAUACUUGCCUUUUUAGUGUUGGAGCCAUUUGGGUGUACUGAAACAACAAAUGAUAAGCAAGAACUACAAAUACAUAUUGAGAGUUCCAUUAAUAAGCAACAACUACAAAUACAUAUUGAGAGUUCCAUUGUAAGCAAGAACUACAACCAACAAGUACUUUCAAAGUGACAUUCCUAAACUAGAUUCAAAAUGGCAACCUCAUUGCAUCUUCUUUCAUUGAGAUUCCCGGAUAUCCACAAGCAACAAGAAUAAUACACAUAGCCAAUAUAAUGAACCAAAAAAACUACAAAGUGAGAGUUCCAUUGUAAACAUACAAAUUAAAUCAUACAGCUAACAACUACUUUUCGUAGUAACAUUCCUAAACUAGAUUCAAAAUGGCAACCUCGUUGCAUCUUCUUUCAAUGAGAUUCCCGGAUAUCCACAAGCAACAAGAAUAAUACAUAUACCCAAUAUAAUGAACCAAAGUAUAUUUUCCCUACUCUUUGACUUAGAUAAUUGACUCUUCCACUUCUUUUCCUUCUCUUUUAUAUUCUCUAUAUCAUCUUGCAAUUUCACCAAUUGUGCCUCAAUCUUCUUCAUCUUGUCAUCUUUUAUGGUGUUUUCGACCUUUGGAGUAGUCCUCGGCAUGGAAAGAUUAUCAAAGCCUUCUAAUGCAUUCUCAAGUUCACCCAUUUUUUCAAGCAACUUGAAAUAACAAAUUUGGAUCUAGAAUCAAUUUCAGAAUCCUUCCAAACCCAAAAAUCACAAGAACGAGAACCCUAAGAUGAUUAACAAAACAAAAUAAUGAAUGAUAAUUUAUCACAACUCAAUAAUAAGUGAAACAAUCAUAAGAAUCAUUUACCCCAUAGUAUGGACAAACCCAAUAUCUUCUUCCUGGAUUCCGAGAGGUCCAAGUUGUUAACAAAGGCAGCACAUAGCCAUGGUUGCAUCGAAUUUCUCCACUUGACUCAUUUUCUUCCUCUUCCAUGCAAAGCCUUGUCAAAUUCAAUCCUUUUGAAGGCAUUUGAACAACUAUUAAAACUUCAAAAAAGAAUUUUAAUGGAUUUUCGACAGAAAUUAGAAGAAGAAGAAGAAAUUAGGGUUCUCAUUUGGUUUUGGUAAAUAUUUGGGGAAGAUGGGAUUUUACCGUUUGGGUUAUAUUAAUGAUGAAGAAUUACGUUUUUAUUUUAUUGGGCUAUUUUAAACGAUUAAACGAUAAAUGAGGCGCUCACUUUGGUUAUCAAACACGUGCAACUGGCCAGGCGUAGGGAGGGAGUAACUAAAUACAUUUAGUUAAACAAUCGUGGGGUGUUAGGACACCCAUAAAGUUAAGGCGGGUAAUUGACUUUUCAGGACAAGUUUAAUGGGGUAUUUAUGCAUUAUCUCAAAUUCAAACUUUCCAACCUCCUAUGUAUUCUAGUAAACCUUUCACCUCUACUAUGAAUAUCUUGGAUAAUUUGCCUCUUCAGCAUACCUGUAGUUCUCCCCUUUUUGUUGAAAUAAUAUCGUAUUCCUCUUGUGCCAAAUACAGUACACACAACAGGCCAAAGUCAUUCUAUAUAAACUUGCAGCUGCAGACUUCCCACGUCCCUGCCUCACAUCCCAGUCAACUUCCUCUUGCCACCCUUUAGAUUUCCUAUCAAUCCCUUUCCAUCCCAAUAUCCCCUACCAUAUGGUUGCACAGUACUGUCAAAGAAAGAAUAGUUGCUCAAUAGACUCGUCGUUGUUAUUGCACAAUGGACACUUCGAGUCAUCCACAUGCCUCCACUUUGCGACCCUAUCUUUGGUGAGAAGCCCUCUAUGGACAUCAAUUUAUAGUAUGAACACCCACCUUGGCGAUCCAUGAUUGUUACAAAUCAAUCUUCUCCACCCAACCUUUUGGAAGUCCCCCUUAAGUUUGCAAUACACUUCUUUUGUGGAGAAACUAGUCAUUUUAUUUACCUGCUCCAUUGUAUAUCCUACUUGCUCAAAUGUUCCUUUUGCAUUUAGGAUCUUUUUAACCACUCAUGAAGAUUUAUCAACCUUUGCAUUCCAUAUUCUACCUUGCUUGAUAUAGUAGGUAUGAAUCCAUCUAACCCACAGCUUGUUCUUUUUUCCACAAACAUUCGAUAGAUGUUUACAUAUGGCAGCUCUAUUCCAGGCAUAUAUUUCAAGUAAACCAAGACCUCCAGUUGACUUUGGAUAGCAUAAUCAAUCCCAAUCAAUUAGUGAUUUCUUUGACGUGUCAGCCCCACCAGUCCAUAAAAAUCUUCUACAUAGUGACUCAAUUAGUUGCACAACUUUCUUUGGUAGAAUAAAGACUUGUGACCAGAAUGCUUUUAUAGAGAAUAACAUAGAUUUUAUUAGCUGAACUCGCCCUGCAUAGGAUAGGAACUUUGCAGUCCAUGAUGUGAUUUUGUUCAGUAUUUUGUCCAACAAUGGUUUGAAUUGUAUCACAAUAGUCUUUUUGGUACUCAAAGGAAUCCCCAUAUAUCUGAAAGGCAACUCCCCUUGUGAGAAUCUCAAUUCCUGCAAGAUGGAAAUUUGAUCUUCUCUGCAUACACCUCCAAAAUAAAUGAAGAUUUUCUCAGUAUUUGCUGACAGACCAGAUAUUGUGGAGAACUCCCUAAAGCAGUCAUACAUCAUUCUAAUUGAUAUAGGGUCCCCUCUGCAAAAGAAUAGCAAAUCAUCUACAAACCCAAGGUGGGUAAUAUUCAGCUUCUCACAUUUUGGAUGAAAAUUAAAAUUAAGUCGUCUUUUAAGAGUCUUCAGUUGCCUGUUCAAAUAUUCCAUUGCCGGCACAAAUAGAAAUGGGGAUAGAGGGUCCCCUUGACUUAGCCCUUUCUUUGCUUUGAAAGGGGCAGUUGGUACCCCAUUUAUGAUAACUGAAUAGGAUACAGUACUCAUGCAUACCAUUAUCCAUCUGACAAACAUUGCCGAAAAGUUUAAGCUAAUAAGAAUUUGCUCCAGAAAAGGCCAUUCCACCGAGUCAUAUGCCUUCCUCAUAUCGAUCUUCAUCAUACAUCUAUGUGAUAUUCCUUUCCUUCCAUACCCUUUAACCAAUUCGUUACUCAUAAUAAUAUUAUCAGUAAUCACUCUUCCUGAUACAAAUGCAGAUUGGCUAGAAUCCACCAGCAUAUCCAUAAAUUGAUGUAGUCUAUGUGUUAGAAUCUUUGAAAUCAGUUUGCAGAGUAUAGUGCAAUAUGAAAUAGGCCUGAACUCCACCUGUCUUGAAGGGUUCUUUACUUUAGGUAUGAGGGUAAUAGUGGUGCAGUUUACUGGUUCAUGCAUGUAUCCUGAAUCAAAGAACUCCAAAAUAGCUUUUGUAGUAUCCUCUUCUACGACAGACCAAGGUUUUUUGAAGAACACAGUAUAGUAUCCAUCACAUCCCGGAGCCUUAAGUCAUUUAUAUCCUUUAGAGCUUGAACUACCUCAUCCUUGGUGACUGGUGCUAUAAGGUGUAGUUGAUGUUGUCUUUCCAAGAUGCUACCUUCCUUCAUAACACUAGGAUUUAUAGUAGGCAGUUGAGGGGAUGCAGAUCCCAAUAAAUUAUUGUAGAAAUUAAUAAUCUCCCCAUCAAUAGCUUCUUGAGUCUACAUCAGAAUACCAUCUGCAUUGAUCAAAUUUCUGAUCUUAUUUUGAGUCAUCCUAUUCUUCAUGUUUGCAAAGAAGAAAGCAUUAUUUGAGUCCCCCAAAUUUAACUACUGAACUCGUGAUUUCUACCUCAAUAUGUUUUCCUCUAUUGUAUCCCAUUUCUCCAGCUAUUUUUUAUGUCUUUUUCCUGUGCAAAUAACAUUGGAUUGUGAUCUUGAUUCCUCAUUUGUGCUUGAAUCUCUGCAAGUUGUUUCCUCGGGAUCUUUAUUCUCCCAUCUAUUUCUUUGAAUUCCUUUGUAUUAAUAUGAUUCGGCCUUUCUUUCAUAUCUUUCAACCCCAUCCAUACUCUAUUCAUCCAGCUUCCUCUCAUAGGUAUUUGCCAUGCUUUAUUUACAACUUCUAGGAAAUUGUGAUGCUCAGCAAUGCAGUUCAGAAACCUAAAAGUUCUUGGCCCCUGAAAAUUCUCCUCAUCCAUUUUAAUACAUAACGGGGAAUGGUCAGAAAGAUUUGGGUCCAAUAUAAGGACCUUUUUUUAGGGAACCUGAUCAUCCACUCUGCAUUAACUAAGGCCCUAUCAAUUUUACUGAAUACAUGGUUGUUAGUCCAUGUAAACCAUCUACCAAUAUAUCUCAUUUCAUUCAUAUUUGUAUCCACCAGAUAGUUGUUGAAGUCUUUACUCUCCCCUUCUUGAACUGGUGCUCCACAUUGUCUGUCCUCUACGUGUGAGAUGGUAUUUAAAUCACCCAUGAUUAGCCAAAGUUCCAUUUGUAGCUGGUUCAGUGCUCCCAAAUCAGCUAACAUCUGCUUCAUAUCCUCAAUGGUAUGUAAGCCAUAAGUGGCAAUGAAGUUGAACAUCAGAUUCAGCCUCUGUAUAGUCACCACUCCAUAUAUGUAUUGAUCAGACAUACUCACCAUAUUAUAGGUAAUGUAGUUUGGGUCACAUAGAAUCCAAAUUCUACCUUAUUGUUAUAAAUAUAGUUAUGGUUCCAGCUCCAACCCUUUGCAAUUUUCUCAAUUGUUUUAGCUGCAUUUUGCUUUUUUACCCUAUGCUCAAGAACAACAAUGAUUGCUACAUUGUUAUUCUUCAUAAACACCUUGAACUCCUUCUGUUAUAGGGUUUGCUUAAACCCCAUUCAUACUGGGAUAAAAGGAGCAUUUGAAUCCCCAGGAUUUUUACUAUAGCUACUCUUACCUCAGUUCUCCUCAGUACAUUCACUAUGCAUCAUAUGCUGAAACUUUGGUUCACUAAGAGGGCUAAAUCCAUUUGAUACGUUCACCUUCUAUUCUGCUACAUUUUGAACUCCUUUCAUGGAAGAUUUUCUCCUUGCAAUUUGCCACUGAUCUGUUGAUGGAUCCCCUGCUUGACUGAAAUCCUUUGUGACCUAGGCUUCCUUCACUUGCUGUAUUGGCUGGUCACCUUUUGUGGUUUCUACCUGUGUAUCCAUAAUCUUCUCCUAUUUCCUUAUCCAAGCUUGUUUUGGGUUUGUAAUAUUUGUCUUUGGAGCUACAGCUGGAGUCUGUUUUUUCAUUGGUUACAAGUGCGGUCAACCUGUAAAAGUGAGGGAAAUAUGGUGAUACCCAAUCAUAUUCCACUUCUUGUUCAAAAAUCUUCCUAUUAGGAUCUAACACCUUGAUCCGAUCUGGUAAUUCCGUAGUAACAUCCAUUUCAAUCAGGAUCCUAGCAUACGAAAUCUGUUCUACUCUUGUUGUGAACUCAUCAGCAUAUAAGGGAAUCCCUAGCCCACUCUCAAUUCUACUCAGUGAAUCCAUUCCCUAGCAGCUUAGGGGAAGGUUUGGGAAUUUAGCCCAUAUUGGAACAGUUUGAAGAACUUCAGCUUGAAAAUCAAAACUCAUUGUCCAUGGUUUGAUAAUUAUUGGCUUGUUGCUGAUUGUGUAUGGUUCUGAGUAGAUUUGAACUUAUUAAAAUGGUCUGAAGGUGAUCUAAAGGGUUUGAGAGUGAUUCAAAUCUAUCUUGUAAAAUUGCAAAAUUAAGAACUUAAUAAAGUACAUAAUUUGAUUUGGAUCUUGAUUAUUAGACAUGAUAUGUCGGACGCGUGUAGAGCCACUACACUGUUGGGAUAUGUAUUAUACUAUUAACCAUGGAUUUUUGUUUGAAUAUAGUAUUUAUUAUGGAAAAUUAUUUAUUCAAUAUUAGAAAAGUUUUAAAUAGAUUACAUAUCCAUUUGUUUCAUUUUCUUAUAUAGUAGAUGAUUUAGUGUAUAGAGUUUAGUUUAUAUAUUGAAGAUUAAAUUAUCAGUUCUUAUAAGUACAAAAAUCAUGUUUACAAUCUAAUGAUAAAAUUGGAUAAAUCAUCACGAAUGAUUGUAGUAUAAGAUUAAAUAUAAUUUGUCUUAAUUAUGGGAAUGGUUUAAUUCUGACUUCUUAUACUAGUACAUUUUUUAUGUAUUGCACGGACCAAGUUGAGAUAAGUAUUUUAGUGCCGGAACUCGGUAUAGUUCCGUUAUUAUAUUUAUGCCUUGCUUGUCAAAUGUAGUAAAAAAAUGGAGUUAGUUUGACAUGAUUCAUACGUACGGUUGUUAAAAUAGCAAUUCUAAUGUUUUCUUGAAAAUUUCAUUUGAUUUGGUGUCCGAUUCAUAGUUCCAGACAUUAUUUUGGCAAUUUGAUCUCGCGAUCAAUUUUGUAUGAUAUUUUUGGACUUGUAUGCUUGUUUGGUUAGGAGCCCCGAGGGCUGGGGUGACUUUCGAAUGGUCUACACAGUGGUUUGGACUUACAAAACAAAGCUGGUGUGCUUCAGUUCUCGCACAGGCCUCAAACCUCGCAAUUGCAAGGUUAGGCCUCGCAUUUGCAAUGUUGCAGAACUCUUGUCAGGUUCACAAUUGCGAGCUAUUUCCUCGUAAUUGCGAAGAAUAGCUGGGCACCACAGGUUCGCAUUUGCGGUCAAAUUCUUUGCAUUUUGCAAAAAGGGUUGGGGGACAAUGUUCGCAUUUGGGAUGAAAUGCUCGCAUUUGUGGGAUGGCCACUUUUUACAAUUGUGAUAUCUUCAACGGGUCCAAAUAUGAGUUAGACGAGAUUUUUUCUCAUUCUUCAAAUUUUCAAACCUAGAGAACCCUAGAGGUGAUUUUCCCAAUAUCCUCUCUUCCACAAUUUAUUGGUAAGUGAUUCUAACCUAUUUUCUUUCACUUUUCCAUUAUACUUCAUAAGAUGUCAACCUAAAAUUUAGGAUUUUCAUGAUAGAAAUUGCGCGUUUGAGUAGAAUUAGAGAUAUUUGUAGAAUUUUAAUUUAGACCUAAAAUUGAGGUCGGAUUUCAAAAUAAAUUACAUAAUCGGCCUCGGGGUCAAUGGGUAAUCGGAUUUUGGUCCAAAUUUUGGGUUUGGACCAAGCGGGCUAAGGAAUUGACUUUGUGGGCUUUUUCAAUAAUGACCUCCAUUGAGUCUUUGCAAUGGUAGGUAGUUCCUAAGGCUUAUUUUGAAUUAUUUGCUUAAUCAUUUGCUAGAUUUGGUUGGUUCAGAGGAUUGUUUGAAAGGCAAAGGCGUGGUUGAGCUUUGAGUUGAUCUUUGGAGCAAGGAAAGUGUCCUGGUUAACCUGACUUGAGAGAUUAGGACUUGUUUGCCUAUUUGUUAUUUAUUUAAAUGCUAGGUACAACAUAUAUGUGAGGUGACGAGUAUAUAUGCGUCGUUGUUGGGUUAAAGCAUGCGGGUGAGACUUUUUUCUUGUAAUUUAUUGCUUUCAUUGAUUGUGAUAUCCAUACUUGGACUAGAAAUCACUAAAUUAAUCAUUCUUUCCGCAUUUAUGAAUUGUCUAUUUAAUUUAGUAUUCUUUUUGAAGUUGCGGUUUGAUGUUAUAAACGUCAAUAUCACACAAGAGGGGGGUGAUUUGUGUGAUACCUAAUUUUUGCUUUAUAUGAACCAUGUUCUUCUAAGUGUUCUAACUACAAUAGUUUGCGGAAUAAUAAAUACUAAACGUAAAGUGCACAGAGAUAUAUACGUGGAAAAUACCUUGCUCAAAAGGUGAAAAAACCAUGACCUACUACUCAGUAAGACUUUCCCAAACUCCACUAAAAUUACUGAGCCAAAAGAGCAUUUACAAAACUCUUUGUAAACCUAAGGAUUAACUCUAAUACCAGUGUGGCACAGAGCCUCAACUAUUGCGACACUUUCAAGUUAACUCUAAGUUGAAUACUCAAAGUAGCUAAUACAAUUGCUUAUAAAUAAGCUGAAAGGUAUAAUAUGAAAACCUACUACAAUUGAACUAGAAUAAACACAAUGAUGGAACUGGUUCUUCUAUAUUAGUUCAUGUAGCUUCAGGCGUGCACAUUUGUAUCUCACAUAUAUUGCUUGCAAAUCAAACUUUCUCUUUUUGCUCUCAAAUAUGCUUAAAUUAUGUGUAUGUGCAUUACCUGUAAAAGAGAAUAACUUGGUUAUAUAAUAGAUUAGCAGUUAGAGUUUAAUCGAGACUCCAAAGCUUAUCCUUUGUCGAUUUGAGUCCUUAACCAAUACAAAAUUCAAUCCUUAUCCUAGCUUAGGGUUGUGUUCUCUUAUCAUAAGAAGACUGUCCUCCUUAGAACUCAAUGCAAUCUUUUCGAUUCAGUUCAGAAGAUAUUUAUUGCGUGAUCUUCAAUCAUAUCUUCCUCACGUGUCUUCCAUGUGCAAUGGUUUUGAUUAAUUGUUUCUCUCAAGAUGGACCAGGUCCUUCCCUGAGUUCAUUUGUCAAUUUUCAAAACUUCAACUGAACUUGGGUCAACAAAUUCCUCCUUUUUUAUGAUGACAAACUCUAUGCUUUUAGUGAUCAGAGAACCUGUAGAACUCAGCUGAAAUAUCAACACUUAGAAAAAUUUUAACUUAUCACCAAGGGCCAGAUUUAAAUUAUGUCAUAAACAUCACUUGUUCAAAUAAUGAAUUUAAGCUCAAUAUCUUCCCCUUUUUGUCAUCAUCGAAACGUUGCAUAAAUAAUGUGAAUCCCAGAAUGUUAAUUAGUACUCAUGGCCACUGUGAAAACUGCAAGUGAACACAUGCUUUAGUUAAUCAAAAAUCAACUUAUCAAUAAUAACUAUUAAGAACAGAAUUAACAAAAAGCAAGGAAGUUGCAUUCAUUGAUUAGUGGUAUUUCUACAUUGUAGUCCACAAAAAGAAAAUUAAAAUUACCAACUAUCAGCAAAAUCAAAAGGAAACAAACAGAUAAUAUCCCAAAUCUGGGUCACUGAGGGGGUCUAGACUGGUUUACAUUAGGACGGGAAACCUAAGGCUUAAAAGAGCUGGAGGGUUGGGUUUGUAGCAUAUUGAGCAUUUGUUGAAGCAUUCCUUCUUCUCCUUCUUCUUCGCAAGUUCAGCUCUCAACCCAUUCCUUUUCUCCAUCCAAUUCAGCAAUUCUGGCCUGAAGCCUGGCUACCUCAGCAUCCUUUGUCCCAACCUCCUGAGCCAAGGCUCUGACUUUGUUGUUCACAGGAUUCUUUACAGAAGAACAGGUUCAACUGGGCCUGUACUGAGCAGAUAAUCACAAGCUUGAAGGGUCAUGCUGCCAAAGUGCUCUUUGCUGGAAGCCAUUUCCCACUUCUUCAGGGGAACAUUCAGUCUUUCAAGCACAGUUGUGAAGAUAAAUCUGUAGGGAAUGGCAUGAGCCUUUGAGCCAUUGAGCACCCUUUCAAGCAUCUUCACAAUGAAGGCAGUCCAGUUGAUAUGCUUCCCUUCAUUCAAGCAUUGCAUAAGAACAAGAUCCAUAUAAUUUUUUGCAUGCCUUCUUUCCUGUCUGGGCAAAAGGCAUUUUUUGACAAACUCGAAGAGUGCUUUGUGUUCUUCCCUCAUUUCACAUUUCUUAACUGCCCUGGCCUCAGGUACCUCCUCAUCUGUUGUGGUGUCGCAGAAAUUCCUAGUGAUCUCAUGAUCAGUAGGCAACCCAUCCCGACAUGGCCACCUCUGCCUUGUAUAUUCAUCAUAUCCAUCACUAGGGAUGUCCAGAAUCUUGACCAGAUUUGCAGCAUUGAACUUCACUUUGACACCUUUCACUGUGCUAGUCACCAGCCCAUUUUUCACUGUCCCAUUUGCCAUGAACUAUACAAGUUCUUUCCUGGACAGUUUACCAUCCAUAUGAAGGAAGUCUCAUUUCUUUCAUGUGCUUCUAGUGCAGUCACAAGUCUCAUCAUGCGUGGCUCCUCCAGGUCUUUAAGUAGUCUUCCUUUUAAGAUUUUCCUCUUGCCAAAUAUGGCAUAUCUGUCCUGUUCCUUUUAUGACUUAUCUUCUUCAUCCUCACUCCACUCAUCAUCAUCUUCUUCAGUUAUCUUCACUUGUUUUCCUUUUGCAGCUGACCUAGUUCUCUUGGCAAGAACAGAUUCAGCAAAAACUGGCUUGGAGGGCUUCUUGGAAGAAGUCCUGGUUCCCUUUGAUUUGUUAGUGGGAACAUCCACAGUAGUACUCUUUUCUAGAUAGACCUGCUCCAUCUCUUCUUCUUCUUCCUCUUAAACCAUAGCCUUAGAACUUUCACCUAUCUUUGCUUUCCGUUUCUCUUUCCUCUUUUUCUUACUUUCUUCUAAAGCUUUAUUUAGUUCUGCUUCACUCUCCCUAACCCUACUUCUAGUGGCACUAAUCCUAGGAGCAGACUUGGGUGAUGAAGGUUUGAUUUUCUUGGUUGGUUUGGACGCAGCAGGGGUCCUUUGUGAGGAAACCUUACAUUCUUUUGGAUCAUAACUGGACCCCACCUUUUUUAGUAAAUCAUCCAAGCUCCCUCCCCAGAUGAACCAGGUUCAUAUUGUUGUUUGCUCAGAUUAACCAAACCCUCAUCAGCUUCACUUGAUCCACUUCCCCCUGACUUCGAGACUCCAUCUUCCCCACUCCUACAUAUGGAUAAAAACUCCUUCUUCUUUUUCUUCCUCAUUUUCCCAGAAUCAGUCCCACCUACAUCUCUAGCAUCCCCUAUCAGAACAAAUCUAUUUUCCUCCGUAUGAACUACAUCAGAAAAAACAAAGCAUGAUUUUACCUCUCCUUGGGUUUCUUCAAUUUUGUCAUUUUCAAAAGACCCAGGUAAAUCUCCUUCACUGGUGGAGAUGUAGUCAUCAUAUUCAGAGCUAGAGUUGGUCUCCUUUACUGAGACUUUUUUCUUUUGAUUAGACUGUAGUUUUACAUUCAAAGCUUUCCUCAGAGAACCAGUAGCUACAGUUUUUCUUGCUAGCAUUUUCUAACAAUGGAAUCUUGGUUUUGGGUUUCAACUGGUGGUGUGGAGAAUGGGGUGGUGUUGGGUGAAAUGGGUGGUAGAGUUCCAGGGUUGUCUUGGGGAUUUGUCAUGGUGAAGAAUUUCUGGAAACCUUAAGAGAAUUUUCGGAGACGGGAGUGGAUGAUCAGGAAUUUUUGUGAAGAACUGACAAUUAUGAGAGAUUUGGGGGUUUUUGCUCAUAAACAACAGCUUUUUUAGAGGUCUUGUAGAAGUCUAAUCAAUUUAGAGUUCCGGUCUCCUUAGUGAUUAAUUAGGAGUGUUAAUAUUUAGGAGAGGGUUCUGUUAUACUUGGACUUCUAGUUUCAAUGAAACUAGUUCAAUUUACCCAACGGAUAGAAUUGUUAGGACGUUUGGUAUAUCUAGGAAUCUUGCUCACGAUUGAUAAUUAAAAUUUUCUAAUUGUGCAAAGUAUAGAAACACCUGAACUUUCUCAUGAGCAUAGAUUGAUGAACCAGGUUCUUCAAGUGAAACUUCUCUUGAUUAUGCCUAAAAUGUCAAAAUAGAAAAAUUUGUAAGAGAUUAGUAACUCGUGCAAACACAUAUCACAAGAGUAUACUAUUUACAGUAUGAGACUGAGUAGGAAUGAGUCUAAUAUUCAAAAGAAUUAAGAACUCCUAACCAAACAAAUUAUAUUUUUCAUUGUGCAUUCUGAACUGGACCUUUUAGGUGAUCUUAAUCAUCCCUAAUUCCAACAUNNNNNNNNNNNNNNNNNNNNNNNNNNNNNNNNNNNNNNNNNNNNNNNNNNNNNNNNNNNNNNNNNNNNNNNNNNNNNNNNNNNNNNNNNNNNNNNNNNNNNNNNNNNNNNNNNNNNNNNNNNNNNNNNNNNNNNNNNNNNNNNNNNNNNNNNNNNNNNNNNNNNNNNNNNNNNNNNNNNNNNNNNNNNNNNNNNNNNNNNNNNNNNNNNNNNNNNNNNNNNNNNNNNNNNNNNNNNNNNNNNNNNNNAGUUCCUUUCAAAGUUUUCUCUACUUAAUGCCUUAGUGAAGAUGUCAGCUAUUUGUUUAUCAGUAGCACAAAAUUCUGUGGAGAUUAGCCAUUUCUCAUAGUUAUCUCUUAAGAAGUGGUGUCUAACAUCUAUGUGCUUAGUCCUUUUAUGAUGAACAUGGUUCUUUGUCAUACUAAUUGCACUAGUAUUAUCACAAAUAUUGGUAUGCACCCCACUUAAAUUCCAAAGUCUACUACUUGGUUCUUAAUCCACUGUAAUUGAGCACAACAUGAAGCAACAGCAACAUAUUCAGCUUCAGCAGUAGAGAGAGCCACUGAAUUUUGCUUUUUGGUAGCCCAUGNNNNNNNNNNNNNNNNNNNNNNNNNNNNNNNNNNNNNNNNNNNNNNNNNNNNCACUGAAUUUUGCUUUUUGGUAGCCCAUGAUACAAGACAAGACCCUAGGAAGUGUGUCAUACCUGAAGUGCUCUUCCUAUCCACUAGGAAACUUGUAUAGCCAGCAUCAACAUAUCCAAUUAAGUCAAAAUUACUAUAUUUGGGAUACUACAGACACAUAUCAGUUGUGCCUUUCAAGUAUCAAAAUAUUCUUUUGACAGCUGCCAAAUGUGACUCCUUUGAAUUUGCCUAGAAAUGAGCACAAAGUCCUACAUUGAAAACAAUGUUAGGUCUGCUGGCAGUAAGAUACAAAAGUGAACCAAUCAUACCCCUAUACAACUUUUGAUCAACUGAUGAACUAGGUUCAUCAAAAUCUAGUUUUUUGUCAGUUGCUAUAGGUGUAUCUAUUUCUUUGGAUUCUUCCAUUUUAAACUUCUUGAUUAGCUCCUUUGUGUACUUUUGCUGAUGGAUCAUAGUUCCAUCUGGACAUUGUUUAAUUUGUAGCCCCAAGUAAAAAUUGAGUUCACCCAUCAUGCUCAUUUCAAAGUCACUUCCCAUUAGUUUAGAAAAGUCCUUACUUAACCUAUCUGUAGUGGCCCCAAAUAUUAUAUCAUCAAUAUAUAUUUGUACAACAAGAAGAUCUUUACCUUUUUCCCUUUGGAACAAAGUGCUAUCAAUUUUACCUCUUUUGUACCCAUGCUCCAGUAUAUAUUUUGACAAUCUUUCAUACAAUGCUCUAGGGGCCUGCUUGAGACCAUAUAGAGAUUUAUCUAGCUUGUACACAUGCUCAGGACACUCCUUGCUUUCAAAUCCUGGAGGUUGUUUAACAAACACUUCUUCCUUGUGUGUAUACAUGAUCAGGGCAUUCUUUGCUUUCGAAUCCUGAAGGUUGUUUCACAAACACUUCUUCUUUGAGAUAGCCAUUUAGGAAGGCACUUUUGACAUCCAUUUGAUGAAGAGUCAAUUCCCUAUGUGCUGCAAAGGCUAUGAGGAGUCUAAUUGCUUCAAGUCUAGAAAAUCUCCAUAUGUGCUGCAAAGGAUAUGAGGAGUCUAAUUGCUUAAAGUCUAGAAAUUGGAGCAAAAUUCUCAUCAUAAUCAAUGCCUUCCUCUUGACUAUAGCCUUGAACCAUAAACCUUGCCUUGUUUCUUGUAACUGUUCCAUCUUCAUCUAGUUUGUUCCCGAGGACCCAUUUUGUCCCAAUGACUGAUCUGUCCUUGGGCCUUGGAACCAAAAGCCAGACUUGGUUUCUUUCAAAUUAAUUGAGCUCAUCUUGCAUAGCAUUGACCCAAUCUGCAUCCUGUAGAACUUCACUAACAUUUUUAGGUUCAAUGAGGGACAGGAAGGCAUCAAAUGCACACAGGUUCUUCAGUUGAGAUCUAGUCUUGACUCCAGAUGUUGGAUCAUUGAUGAUGUUCUCAAUGGGAUGAGAACUCAGGUACUUGUAAGAUUUUCCCACCAGUUGUUUCAUGCUAGAUGCUUCAUCAUUGUUAUACUGCAGAGGAAUAGGUACAGGUUCCGUCAAAGAAUUUUGUUCAGUUUCUCUCAGAUUGGUUCCCCCGUCAGGUUGAUCUGGGUGGAAGGACCUGUUCCGUCACCUGCUCCUUCCUUUGAUGCCACCUUAACUUGUGUUGUGGCUUCAGUCAAUUGUCUCACCAUUCCGAUGGCUUCAUCUUCAUGUUCCUGUCUCUCAGAAAGAGUGUUAGAUUCAUCAAAUACAACNNNNNNNNNNNNNNNNNNNNNNNNNNNNNNNNNNNNNNNNNNNNNNNNNNNNNNNNNNNNNNNNNNNNNNNNNNNNNNNNNNNNNNNNNNNNNNNNNNNNNNNNNNNNNNNNNNNNNNNNNNNNNNNNNNNNNNNNNNNNNNNNNNNNNNNNNNNNNNNNNNNNNNNNNNNNNNNNNNNNNNNNNNNNNNNNNNNNNNNNNNNNNNNNNUUGUCAUUAUUGUGCACAUAGCACUUGCAACCAAAAGCCCUAAGAUGGGAUAUGUUUGGUUUUCUCCCUUUAAGUAACUCAUAGGGAGUUUUCUCAACAAUAGGUCUAGUCAUGCAUCUAAUUAUUAUAUAACAAGCAGUGUUUAUAGCCUCUGCCCAGAAGCUAUGAGGUAGUUUACUAGAAAGAAGCAAGGUCCUUGCCAUAUCCUCAAGGGUCAUGUUCUUCCUCUCAACUACCCUAUUUUGCUGAGGGGUCCUGGGGGCAGAGAAAUUAUGAUCUAUUCCAUUUUCAUCACAAAAUUCAGCAAACUUUGCAUUUUAAAAUUCAUUUCCAUGAUCAGACCUAAUGGAUGCAAGUUGAUUUCCUAAUUGUUUCUGGAUUUUUCUAACAAAGGCUGUGAACAUUUCAAAUGCUUUAUCUUUAGAAGUUAGAAAUAGCACCCAGGUAAAUCUAGAGUAAUCAUCAACCAGCACCAUAAAAUAUCUGUUUUUGUAACCAAAGCAGUGAAUAUUUUAAAUGUUUCAUCUUUAGAGGUUAGAAACAAUACCCAGAUAAAUCUAGAAUAAUUAUCAACAAGCACCAUUACAUAUCUUUUACCACCUCUGCUCAUGGCUCUCAUUGGACCACAGAGAUCCAUAUGAACCAGUUCCAAUGUCUUGGAUGUACAUACCAUUUUCUUGGGUUUGAAGGAUAACCUUACCUGCUUCCCCAUUGCACAUGACUCACAAACUUUGUCUUCCUUGAACUUGAUAUUAGGUAACCCUAUCACCAAGUCCUUGAAGAAUAAUUUGUUCAAUUGAUUUAGACUGGCAUGGCAAAAUUUUUUGUGCCAAAGGAGGGUAUCAUUAAUUAACACACUUAAGUAAGUGAGUUCAUUUUCAGAGAGAGUUGACAGAUCUACAAUGCAAAUAUUGUUAACUUUCCUUCCCUACAAAACAUUCUUAUCAGUAGUAAGGCUAAUCACAAAACAUUUUGUGGAAUUGAAAACUAUAAGAUUACCUAUGUCACACAGUUGUGACACACUUAUCAGGCUAUAUUUUAAGCCAUCUAUCAAAUAGACAUUCUNNNNNNNNNNNNNNNNNNNNNNNNNNNNNNNNNNNNNNNNNNNNNNNNNNNNNNNNNNNNNNNNNNNNNNNNNNNNNNNNNNNNNNNNNNNNNNNNNNNNNNNNNNNNNNNNNNNNNNNNNNNNNNNNNNNNNNNNNNNNNNNNNNNNNNNNNNNNNNNNNNNNNNNNNNNNNNNNNNNNNNNNNNNNNNNNNNNNNNNNNNNNNNNNNNNNNNNNNNNNNNNNNNNNNNNNNNNNNNNNNNNNNNNNNNNNNNNNNNNNNNNNNNNNNNNNNNNNNNNNNNNNNNNNNAAAACUAGUUUGGUUCCCUUUCUAUGGGCAAAAGGAUGAAUUAAGUUUUUCUUUGCCCAACCAGGCAGUUUGUAUUUUUCUUAAACAAAUGCUUUGUUCUUUUGACUGGACUUUUCUUUUGCAUUGCAUUUAUUUUUGUAAUGGCCAUUCUUACCACAGUGUGUGCAGAUCUUAUUCUCAGGAAGCGUAAGGUACUUAUUUUAGGGAUCCCAUUUUGGAGCUUGUGUCUCAAAUCCAAUUCCUCUCUUAUUGCUACUAUGAUGUUCUUGCAGCCAGGAGAGUGCAUCGGAAGCCUUGUUCCAUUUGCAUGUUAUGUCUAGUUCAUGCUUCACCUUUCCUAAAUCUUCUUUUAGGACUUUAAUCAAUUCAUAUUUCUUGUACAGUUCAUCUUUCAUUUUUCCUAUAUUUCCUUCUAUGGUGAGAAAUGAUUGACCAUCCUUUUUCUUUCCUGUCCCUAAUUUCAGUUUAAUAUCUUCAAAUCUAAGUUCUAGGACCUUAUUUUCAAGUUGAUGAACCUGGUUCUUUAACUCAGUAUUUGUGUUGUCACUCUCAUCAGCCCUAGACUCUAACAUUUUGCAUAUUUCUUCUAGGAUAACGAUUCUCCAAUGGCCAUAAGAGCUUGCUCAUCUUCAGCUUUAAUUUUUGAGUCCUCAUCUGAUGUUUCCCGCCAUGCAGCAACCAUAGCUUUAGUUGAUCCUUUGUUCCUUCUUGGUUGAACAUGUUCCUUCUUCCUAUUUCUUCUAUCUGCCCUUUCUUUCUCCCAUUAAGGACAGUUUCUGAUCUCGUGAUCAGUCUUCCCACACUUGUAACACCCCUCAUUGGUUUGUUUUUCAGGAGCCCUAGGUUUGUUGAAUGUUGUUCCUCUUGAAGGGCCCUUUCCUCUCAUAAGAUACUUCUUGAAAUCCCUGGUUAUCAUAGCCAUUUCAUCAUUUUCAAGAUCUGAUCCUUCAGAGAUUCUUAGGUCCAGGAUUCUUUCUUUCUUUUGAGCAUCCAUCUUCAUUGUCUUCCUUCUCAAUUCAUAGGCAGUAAGAUUUCUAAUAAGUUCAUCCAAUUUUAAAGUAGUAAUGUUCUUGGAUUCCUGAAUAGAUGUGAUUUUGCUUUCCUAGUAGAUUGGCAGAACUCUAGUUAGAAUCUUCUCCACCUUGUCUUAUUCCAGGAUAAUCCUUCCAAGAUACUCCAGUUCGUAGUGAACCUAGUAUGCAUCUCUUGGAUAGUUUCUCCGUCCUUCAUAGUAAAAUUCUCAUAUUGAGAAUACAACAGUGUUCCUCUUGACCUCUUCACCUGAGGUGUUCCGUCAUAAGCCACUUGUAAAGUGUCCCAAAACUCCUUGGCAGUAGUACAGCCUUGAAUCCUGUUGUACUCAUCAGGACCAAGUCCACACACUAGCUAUUUCUUGACCUUCGCAUUUUUCUCCCACUUCUUUAGGUCUUCAGCAGUACAAUAUGCUCUAGUCUUUGGAACAUCCAAUCCUUCAACAGUCUUCUUGGUUAUGGCUAAAGGACCAUCAAUGAUGAUAUCCCAAAGCUCAUAGACUUCGCCCAUGAUAUGGUCCCUCAUUCUGUUUUUCCACCUGGAGUAGUAAAGGCCAUUGAAAGGAGGAGGCUGACAGUGGAUUGCCCUUCCCAAUUCCCAGGUGGUGCACUCAUGUUGAUCUUUUCCAAAGGUGUUAACGUCUUCAAGGAUAACCUGCUCUGAUACCAAUUGAUGUUAUAAACAUCAAUACCACACAAGAGGAGGGUGAUUUGUGUGGUACCUAAUUUUCACUUUAGAAGAACCAAGUUCUUCUAAGUGUUCUAACUACAGUAGUUUGCGGAAUAAUAAAUACUGGACGUAAAGUUCACAAAGAUUUUUACGUGGAAAAUACCUGGCUCAAAAGGUGAAAAAACCAUGACCUACUACUCAGUUGGAUUUUCCCAAACUCCACUAAAUCACUGAGCCAAAAGCAGCAUUUACAAAACUCUUUGUAAACCUAAGGAAUAACUCUAAUCCCAGUGUGGCACACAACCUCAAUUGUUGCGACACUUUCAAUUUAACUCUAACUUGAAUACUCAAAGUACCUAAUACAAUUGCUUCUAAAUAAGCUGAAAGGUACAAUAUGAAAACCUACUACAAUUGAACUAGACAUAGAAUGAACACAAAGAUGGAACUGGUUCUUCUAUCUUAGUUCAUGUAGCUUCAGGUGUGCACACUUGUAUCUCACAUAUAUUGCUUUCAAAUCAGACUUGCUCGUUUUGCUCAAAAUAUGCUUAACUUCUGCUUAUGUACGUUACCUUCAAAAGAGAACAACUUGGUUAUUUAAUAGAUUAGCAGUUAGAGUUUGAUCGAGACUCCAAAGCUUAUCCUUAGUCGAUUUGAGUCCUUAACCAAUACAAACUCCAAUCCUUAUCCUAGCUUAGGAUUGUGUUCUCUUAUCAUAAGGAGACUUUCCUCCUUAGAAAUCAAUGCAAUCUUUUCGAUUCAGUUCAGAAGAUAUUUGCUGGGUGAUCUUCAAUACAUAUCUUCCUCGCGUGCCUUCCAGGUGAAAUGGUUAUGACUAACUGUGUCUCUUAAGAUGGAUCAGGUCCUUCCCUGAGUUCAUUUGUCAAUCUUCAAAACUUCAACUGAAAUUGGGCCAACAAGGUUGGUUUUGUUGAACCAUUAUUGACAUAGAGUUUGUUCUUGUUUAUUUCAUCUCCCUAUUGUUAUAUGUUCAUUGUUAUAUGGUAAGAGAGAGUGUUAAUGCACGAAGGAUAAUGUCGUACCAUAUUUGAGAGUUAAUGCAUGAAGGGUGAUGUCGUGACAUACUUGAGUGUUAAUGCACGAAGGGUGAUGUCGUGCCAUAUUUGAGAGUUAAAGCAUGAAAGGUGAUGUCGCGCCAUAUUUGAGAGUUAAUGCACAAAGGGUGAUGUAGUGCCGUAUCUAUUGAUUUAUGAUGAAAGUGAGAGUUAAUGUACGAAGGGUGAUGUCGUGUCGUUAUCAUUGUUUCAUUGGGGUUAAGAGUAAAAGUAUGAAGGGUGAUGCUAUACAGUUUUUGUUGAUUAUGUUUAUUUGUGUUAUUGAUUAAAGACGUAUUGAUUAUUCUGGUUAUCAUUUCAUGUUGUAGAUAUCGUAUCUUGUACCUCUUUCAUAUGUCCCCUCCCAAUAGUACAUGUUUAGCCUUUAUUUGUUGUUAUGUUGUACAUAUAUUAUUAUUUUCACAAGUUUAUUUACGUGGGUGUCCUGUCAUAGCCUCGUCACUCCUUCGUCGAGGUUAGGCUCGACACUUACAUAGUAAAUUAGAUCGGUUGUUCUCACAUUAUACUCGGUACUUCUUGUGUAGACUUUUUGUACUGGUCCCAACUGUCUGUAAAGCAUUUCAGUACGGAUUUACUUUUAGAAACUUGAGGUAGAUCUGCUGGGAUCCGUAGGCCUUGAAGUCCCCUUUCACUUUUUCCUAUUUACUGUUCUUAUCAUUCAAGACAGUUGUACUUAUUUUAGACUCUGUAUGUAAAAAUUCUAGAAGCGCGUGAACAUGUGACUCCAGAUCCGAGGUGUACUUAGAUAUUAUUGGUUUUUAUGUCAUUCCGCACCGAGUUUUAGUUUUAUUUCAGCUUAAUUGAUUUUUACUUAUUGAAACUAAUUAAAAUUAGCUUAAAGAUCCUCUAAUAUUUGCUUGUCUAGCAAGUGAAAUAUUAUGCAUCAUCACGGUCCGAAGGUGGAAAUUUCGGAUCAUGACAUAACUCCUCAAGCGAUUAAAUGUACGUAUACUCUUAAUCUUGAUAUAGUUAUUAUUAGUAGUGUAUAUUAUUUAUUAUUUUGAUUUAUUAAAAUGCGAGAUUCUUUUGUGGAAUCAAUAUGCCUGGUAAAUUAGACAAUGAUGAUAUACAUUGGCGAAGUAAUAGUUAGUUGAAAGAAUAUAUGUCUCAGUCUAGAAAUUGAUAAUACACCUUUAUGAAAGCUUAUAAGUUUUCAUGUGUAAACCUGUAGGAGAAUUUGGUAUCUGUCACAUGAAAUAAGUCAAGCGAAAGUCUAAAUAAAAUAAUCAAUGAAUUAAAUUUUAAGUAAUAUAAUUUAUUUAAUUAUGGAGAGUUAAAUAAGGUUUAAUGGAAGAAUUUCGAAAUUGAACUGAGAAAUGCAGUCAUGAAUUUUUAGUGAAAUAAUUCGUAAUUUAUUAUGAUAGUAUUAAUUCGGAUAUUUCGAAUUAAGUCCAUAAUAAGAAGCCUCGUUAAUUAAAUAUUGUGAUUCUGUUGUGCCUGAAUAAUUAGGAAUUACAUGGAAUCAUAUUUCUUGGUGGAAAAGAAAGACCCAACAAGUUUAGGAAAAUAUUUUAAACCCUCAAACAUGUGGCUAUAUAAAGAGGUCUUAUUCCGUAAGAAGGCAAUAAUUUUUGCUACAUGAUUUUCCUAGGAGAAAUUCGCCCAUGCAAUUUUCGCUAAUUUCGGGUAUUAUUCGGGUCACACAGCAGAAAACUGUAGAAUUGGAGGAUGAUUUUGUGGACGGUUUUCACUCUUACUCGAAAGCUCUUUUCGCGAUAGCAAUCACGUUUUAAGAGAUAAGUAUCUUUUUUUUUAUUAUUAAAAUCUAUGAUUAUGUGUUGUCCCUAUUACUUGCAAGUGAUCUUGACUAUUUGCUUUUGCUGUUCAUACUUGUUUUCCAUCAACUAUGUAUAGGAGAUACGAACUAGUAGGGAUAAUUGGAUGAUGUCCCAGGAGAUCGGAAGAG
rnacentral:lncRNA from 1 species